AACACUACUUUGCACCCAACAGUUAAGUUUAAAUCAAAGUAUGAACUCUCAUCAAAAUUCACAACUCAAAACUAGUUCAAAACUACAAAACAUCAAAUAAUGUAAUAUCAUCUAAGAACCACUCAUCCCAAAACUAAUUUAACACAACUCAAAACUGGUUUGAUAGUUUUUUAAACAAUCAUAUAAAUGCAAUGCCUAUUAUCCCAUAAUGUUGCUCCAAAAAUGUCUCUCAUGAUCAUAAACUUAAUUUCAUCAAAACAUACCUUUUAUAGAAUGGACUCCACUCCACUUCACUUAAGCUUUGUGUUUCCUUUUGUUACUGGAUUUAGCUCCUGUAAUCUUCUGAUAUGCUAAAAGUCUUGAAGGUGGCAGCUUGAACUCAUUCAGCUUCUUCUUUCUUCUCUGUUUCCUAGAAAGUACUUUUUCACCUUCAGUUUGUGCAUCAUCAACCACUUGUUCAUUAGAUUUCUCAACAUCAUGUUUGAUCCUCUUUCCACCAUUCUCAGAAGUCUCUCCCUUAAGAAGAGAUUUAAUCUUCUGUUUAUGUUCCUUUAUCUUAUGGCGAGGAACAAUGAACUCAUCCUCUCUAUAAGUAGCCAACUUCUUCAAAGGAACUAACUGAUUCAACUCCUUGUCAUCAACAACCAAAAUCUCUUUUGCUUUCAAUCCAUAAGUGUUCUUGUUAACAGGUCUGUAUUUAAACCUUGUCUUCAAAUCCCCAAUUGUAUCCUCAUAGUCCAACUUAUAGUACUCUUCUAACUCUUUCUUAAUCGCCUCCUCCUCUACUUCAGACCUUUUCCUUUUCUUCUUCUUAUCUUCUUCAUCAUGUGAAUUAUCAAUCUUGCACUUUAAGGUUUUUUCUCUAGUAGCCAAGAACCCAUCACCAGAUCCAUAUUCAUUUUCCCACCCUUUUGGAAGCCCAAGAAACUCGUCUUCUUCAUCAAAGUUUGGUUUUUCCAAUUCACCAUCUUCUUCUUCUUCUUCACUACCAAAUUGUGGGUCCACAUCUUCAGCUUCAUAGAAGUUUUCAUCAAAAGCUUUCUUCAUUGUUCUAUCAUGCUCAUCAGGAUCGAAUUCCUCCUCAAGAUCAUGUUCAUCUAAUAAACAAACUUCAUUUUCACCAAUUCCUGCUGUUUCUCUAAUCUUUCUAAUCUUCUCAUUCAUCUCCUUCUUCUUCAAGUUCUUCAUAUGUUUCAGUUCUUCCUUUCUUUCAAGCUCUGCUAGUGCUAUCCUUUCCUCUUUGUUUUUCCUUUGUAACUUUCUUGCAUUGUCUUUCUUCCUCACUGAACCAUCAACCUUUCUUGAAAACCCCAUAACUCUAUCACCUGCAUUUUCUUCAAACCUAAAAUUGAACUCUCUUUCGAAAUUUUCUUGUCUUUCUAACUCCUCUUCAUCCUCUGAAACAUCUAAUUCCACAUCAUUUAAGUGGUUACUACUACCGGCCUCUUUAUCUAACCACAUCUUUUUCCUGAAAUAAUCCUUCAAAAACUUCUCAUUUUCAUCUAACUUUUCAUCCUCUUCAAAAUACUCAUCUAGCUUCUUUUCAUACUCAACUUCAUCUUCAUCUUCAUCUUCAAUUCCCCUUUUAUCAUUCUUUACCUUCAAUAAAUCAUCUUCAUCGUCUUCAUCACCUACAGCAUCCAAAAACUCCUUUCUUAAUACCUCCUGUUCUUCAGAAUAACUCUUUUUCUUACCCUUGUUUUCCUCUUCGUCAUCUUCAUCAUCAAACUCAGGCCCUUUCUCAAUUAAAUGCUUUGCAGUCACAUCUUUCAGAUACAUCGGUUUCCUUUUCUUUUCCUUAUUAUUAUCCUCAGUUUCAUCCUCAUUUUCCAAAUCAAAUAGCUUAGCAUCUUUAUUUUUAAGUGAAGGAUCUUGCUUUUUGACCUUUAUUAACGCAUCAAAGAACUGCAAAUCCUGCUUUCUCGAAUAAUUGACAAUAUUCUCCUCGUCUUCAGAUGACUCAUCUUCUUCCUCGCUAUCUAUGUCCGAAUCAAUUACACCUUUCUUCUUCAUCUCUUCAUACCGCUGUAUAUCUUCACGUUUCUUGUUAUGCUCGUAUCUGCGUGCGAACUCUUUGUUGAUUUCUAUUUUGGAUAAGUCAUCAGAAUCGGAGCCACCAUUGUCAAAUAGCUUCAUCCCCAUUCUUUCUAUGCUAUGAACUCCGAUAACUGAUCUAGCAAACAAAAAGUAUCAUUAAUAAUUAUCCAAAAUUCCAGUAACACACAACAGCUAUACAUAAAUUAGAAAUUAGAGCUCAAAACUAUACAAACUUCCAGUGGCAUACAAACAUCAUAUGUGAAAUCAGUACUCUGAAUAAGUUAUGCAAACUUCCAGUAACAUAAAAAAAAUCAUAUUUUAAAACCUAAAAUUACACAUUAAUCUGAAAUUCUGACAUUAUGCAUUAAUCUAAAACUAAAACUUAAAUCAAAAUCGUACAUUAAAAUUUACCUCUAUGGGUUUGCGUUUGCGGUGGGCAGAGAGACCAAAAGAGCGGACAGAAAUACCACCGGAGGUGGGUGGGCGGCUCGGCGGCUACCUGACUUCGUACGCCGGACUGAGCAGAGCGAUGGAAAGACCGGACAGAGAAACUCCGGCUUCGAGAAUCGCGUUUGAUCGAGAGAGAGAGAGAGAGAGAUGAUAUAUAGAGCGGACAGAGAGACCGCCGGAGGUAGUAUCGGCGGCUUCGUGUUCUGAGGGAGAGUGAGACGAUCGUGCGUGUGUUUAUCUCGGACUCGAUUGAAAUGUUGAAUGAGAAUCGGUUUCACCAAACCCUAGUUUUAAAUUUACAAUUAACUAUAUUAAAUUACAAGAAUGGCCCUUUGGUUUGGGGUUGAUCCAUAUGCUGUAUCGAUGUAUCCCUAUUCCCUAACUUUUUUUUAGAGGGUGUUGGAUUGCUUUAAAAACAAUUUUUUUUUUUGGAGAAAAUACUGUAAAUAGUAAAAAAAAAAAAUAGGGGAUGUUUUUAAAAAAUAGACAUAAAAAUGGAUUUUUCUAGCUAUAGACAUACAUUCCGCGGAGGACCCUCCGCAGACCUCCGCGGAAUGAUGUCAUCUCCGCGGAAUGGAUCUUGAGGGUUUUUUUUUUCACAUCGAUUCUUCGGGGUUUCUUAAAAAUAAUUAGUUUUUUUAUAUAUUGAUUUAUUUACGAUUUUGCCAUUCCGCGGAGCUACAGUAGAUUCCGCGGAGUUACCUCCGCGGAAUGCAUGUCUAUAUCCGGAAAAGUCCAUUUUUAUGUUUGUUUUUUGAAAACAACCCCCAUUUUUUGACUAUUUACGGUAUUUUCUCAUUUUUUUGACAUUUCAUUUUUAAGAAAAGUAAAAAAAAGUGCAAAAAAAUGUUUGUCUAAGUUAAAAAGUAUUUUUUAAACAACUUAUGAGCAAAAGGAAAAAAAAGUUGAUUUCAAAAGGGGUGUUGCUAAUAAGAUAUCAUUUAGACACCCUAUUAUCACUUUUAUAAAAAGUCAACCUAUAAUCAACUACUUAUAAUCAUUUUUUUCGGAAAACAAUGCAAUUUCAACCAAUAAAAAUAUUUUAAAAAUUCAUUAAGGUGUCUAUAUGGUAAAAUGAGAUGUCUUUUUAGCCAACCCCUUUCAAAAGUCACAAAAACGUGACUUUUGGAACUUUUGUACUUCUUAAAAGCAACUUUUGUUUUUUUACCAUCCAAACACAUUUUAAACCAUAACUUUUGGAAAAAGAACUUUUACAAAAAGUCAUUUUAUAAAAAAAAAAAAAAAAACUUUUGAGCUGAAAAAGUUAUCCCAAACACCCACUUAAUUUAAACCAUCAUUAUACUUAUCAAAAAAAAGUAAUUAAGAAAUAGAUAUGGGUUCAAUCCUAGAUAGGAGAUAUUUAAAUUAUUUAUUGUUAAAAUAAAUUAAGAAAUAGAUGUGGAAAAAGUUGGAAGUGUAUGUGUUUAUCUUUGGACUCGAUUGAAAUAUUGAAUGAGAAUUAGAAAGGAUUCAUCAGCGUUGUCGGGGUUGGAAGGUAUUGCUUUGUAAAGUAAAGUAGCAUGUUGAAUUGCAUUGAAAUAAUCUAGUAAAGGAAGAUAAACAAUGUCAUCUAAUUACAUAAGUACCAAAGGGCUUCUAGCCCAGCGGUAUCAGGUGGUGCCCUCCCACUUUUAGGUCGAGGGUUCAAGUCCCGUUGUGGACAUAGGUGAAAUUAGGUGUUAGUUUAGAAGUAGAUUAUAAUAUUUGUAUUUGCCGGUUCAAAAAAAAUUACAUAAGUAAAGAAAUUUAAAUCAUUAUUUCUUGCAAUAAAUGAGGAAAAUAAAGAAAUUGUCUCAUAAAUUGAACUUUAUUGUCAUGUAUGGCAGCGGCCGGAAAACCAAUCCGGAAAAUAUAAACUGUUGUUUUUUGUCCGUUAAUGUGAGGGUAAUUUGGUCUUUUAAGGUAGUAGGGACUGAAUUUGUGACGAUGGGUAAACCAUAUGGUCCAUUUAUGUAAUUUUGGCGGCAGUGGUGGUGGUGGUGAUGGCAGCUGGUGGGUGGCUUUAUGGUAUUGAAUGAGUAUUUUCUAAUAAAUAAAACAUUAAUUUAAAACCAAAAAGAGAAAUAUAAAUUAAUAAAAAAAAAUAGGAUUAGGAAUAAAAGAGUGAUUUCGGUUUCCAUCAUUGUCCUCAAUGUGUUAAAUUUGGUAAACCAUAGGGACCAAUCGUGUAAUUUUGUCUAAUAAUAAUAAUAAUAAUAAUGAGGGACCAUUUCUACCAAAAGACUAAAUACUAAUAAUAUGUAACAAAAGGCGAGGGUUAUGAAAAAUUCAAACGAAAGUGAAAAGGUUGUUUGUGAAAAAAGCAUAAAGGUGAANNNNNNNNNNNNNNNNNNNNNNNNNNNNNNNNNNNNNNNNNNNNNNNNNNNNNNNNNNNNNNNNNNNNNNNNNNNNNNNNNNNNNNNNNNNNNNNNNNNNNNNNNNNNNNNNNNNNNNNNNNNNNNNNNNNNNNNNNNNNNNNNNNNNNNNNNNNNNNNNNNAUAUAUAUAUAUAUAUUGGGACCCUUACCACUUUCACCAAACCCUACUUUUAGAUUUAUAAUUAACUAUAGUAAAUUACAUGAAUGGUACCUUGGUUUGGUUUGGAGUUAGUUUGCCUUUUUUUUUGUUUCUGGAUCUUUUUCGAUUUAGACAAUCUUUGGUUUGGUUUCAGAUUUAGUAUUUACAAGAUUGAAAUGACAUUUAUAUCAUUUAUUAUCUUUUUUUAUUAAUAUCAUGUUAUCGAAGAAAAAAAUGACACAGAAAUAUAUGUGGGUCCCACCCCCUAACCCCACUACUCGUGUUCCUCUCUUUUUCUUGUUAUAAUCUCUCAAUCGUUUAAUUCCAUGACAUCAACUGCAUCUUCUCCCUCAUCCCUUUUCCAUUUUCACCGUCGAUCUGAAUCUCUUCCUUCUUCCGUCUUCAUCGUCGACUACAUCUAUAGGUGGUUUACAGAGGGCCCACGGUCCGUAGAUUUUCCAAGAGGAAAAAAAAUAUGGGCAUGUGUUUCCCUAGAUGUCCAUAGUGAAAUCCAUUUUUUCCCAGUUUUCAUAGAUUCCAACCUUCGAUUGCCUCGAAACUUCCAUAAAGACUUAUAAAAAGGGUUAAAACUUGAAAAUAAGAUCAAGAAGUUAGGAACCCUUGUAGGGGUACUUUGGUCAUUUGUAACUAUUUGAUUUUAAUAAAAUAGAUGGUGAUUAAGAGGUGUAAUAAGAUUUAAAGGAGUGUGAUAUCAAACUAUCAACAUGAGUAACUACUGAAUGCAUAACCCACAUAUGACUAGAAAUGAUUUUUAUGAUUUAAACUUUAUGUAUUAUGUUUAUAUGCCCUUAUGUGUUAUGAUAAUUGUUGUUCGUAAAUCUAUGCACAUUCACGAAAAAUGAUAUUUUGAAAAGUAUUUUGACUAUGACUAAAUGAUUAUAAUAUUUUGGAAACAAUUCUCCUCUUGAAGUUGUACAUCUACUCACUAUGGGUACAUACUUGAGUCUCCAAUAAAGUCCUAGGAAAAAUAAUUAUGUUGAUGACCAUAGACCACUGUCUUAGUGAUAAUAUUCUAGAUAUGUAUCACUUGUACAUAUAUCUUAGCUAACUCGUGUACGGUAUAUUUGAUGAUAACAAAGUGAUAGGUUUUAUGGGUUUGGUCAGUUUUGUUCGUGUCGGGAUUGUCAGCUACAUGUUCUUCCUCUAAUGGAAGAACAGUAGUGUAACACCCUGUUUCACCCUUCAGUACGAUUUAAUAUAAACAUUUGUUUAUAAAACUCGAAGUAGAAAUAUAUUACUUUUUAUCCAAAGUAAUCAUCAUAAACAUGUAGGAAACGCCAAUACGAUUUCCGUAAAUAUAUAGAACACUCAAAUCUGACUUCGUAUAGAAAAGUUAUGAUUAUUCGAAGAUUUGUGUUCGGCCCUAUACGACAAGGCAUGUUAUAAAAUGUGAAUCGGAGAUAGGUUGCUUAUUAGCCUUAGUGAUCUAAACAAAAGUCGUAGUAGUCAUAAAAUCGAGAGCGUGCCUAUAAAGAACGUCCAAAUCUGACUUCGUAUGAGGAAGUUAUGAUUUUUCGAAAUUUUGGUACUGCAAUGUUGUAACAUCCCAAAAUUCAUGACCGAAAAUUUCAUUUUUAAUAUAGAUAAAACACAUUUGUAACUUGGUUCACACACUUAAUGUAACACCCCGUUUAUUAAGUAAAUAAAUAAAUUAAUUAAUGAAUGUAUAUGUGAUAACCCGUUAAUUUCAAUAUUGUAAAAGUCAAACUUGGGUCAACUAAAGUCAAACUUAUUGUAUUGAUCUAUCUUAUUAAGUAGAUUUAUCUUAUUAAGUUAGAUUUAAAAUAUAUAUGUGUUUAAACCCUUUUAUUAGAAGUGUUACAAAAAUUGGAAGUGAAAUGCUUAAAUCCGAGAACCCUCGCAUGGCUUAAAGACUUCGGACCGCAAACUCUCUUUGGACCGUAAACGCCUCGCAGUCGGAAACCAUGUUUGGCCAUAAACCCUUCUGACCGCAAACCCUCGGUUCACAGUCGUAAACCCUCGGUCUUAUCCUCUCGGUACGCAAACCAACAAACAUGUCCCAUCACGUACGAUUUCGACCCUAUACAUAUGGAGGGACCGAAAUCACUUCCUCACUUCUACACUUCUAACUGAAAACCCUUUAUUCUCUCCCAACUAUCAUCCGAAAAAUCCUUUAAUCUUCUUCGGAUCUUGUUAAGAACACCAAGUGUUCUUCAUUUCAUCAAGAUAUCACCUUCCAUUUUGGUGAUCAUCAACCGAAAACCCUUGAAUCUCCUUGGUUUCACCAAGAACACCAAGAUCUUCAUGUGGCCGAAAACCCAAGGGCUGGCCGAAAAUGCAUAGCAACCUUCCAAAAUAGAUUCUAACACCUCUAUUUGUAAGUAAACCUUACAAAGUUGUUUAUUUCCUUAACAUACUUGCGAUUAUAUUCACUAAUAGUAUAGAGUAAAUUACUGAAAUCAUCCCUGUGGUUUGGUCAAAAUUGCACGUUUGGUCCUUAACUUUUUUUUGCACUCGGAUCGUCCAUGUGGUUUGAUUUUGUUGCGUUUUCCGUCCCUGUGGUUUGAUUUUGUUGCAUUUUUCGUCCCUUACAUACAUAAAGUUAGGGACCAAACAUGCAAUUUUUACCAAACCAUAGGGACGAAAAACGCAACAAAAUCAAACCACAGGGACGAUCUGAGUGCAAAAAAAAGUUAGGGACCAAAUGUGCAAUUUUGACCAAGCCACAUGGACAAUUUCAGUAAUUUAUUCAAUAGUAUACAUAUAUAUUACAUGAAAUGCUUUUAGGACUCGUUUUUCUCCCAGGAUCUAACUUAUGGAAAAACAUCCUAUAUCAAACCUUCAAGCGAAUCACUUACUUAAGGUGAGUUCAUACCCCUACAAUUUACCUUUUUCAAUGUUUUUAAGGGGGGUGAUACAAGCAAAACACAAUAGAAUUGUGUUAACACUUACAUGUGAAAACAAACAAAUAAAGGAAUUCUUAUGCUUAUAAAUAUUGUUAAAAUCAUUUCAAAACUCUUUUAAACUAUUUUAGAUUUCUAUUUAUAUCAAAAUCAUAUUCAUUUGUAUAUUUAUGUAUAAUCAUGUUUUAACAGACUUAGGACUAUUGCUAAUAACGUAACUCUUGUUCCUUGUUUGGUUGAGGGCUUAAGGUAUGAUCACUAGUCUAACUGUCGGCUAAAUCAUAGUUAUACAUGCUAAAUAUAUACAUGAAUAUUAAAUCUCAUUUUCAAGAACAUACUUAACUCAAUUGCAUAUGUUGGGCAAAUGAGUCUUUUCUCCAAAUCAUUUACAACUCAAACAAACAUACUAGUAAACUAUAAUAGGUAUAGUUUAGAGAAUCAAUUCAUACUAUUUUCUAGAUCAGAGAAACAAUACAUGAAUCAAUACAUACGCACUAUUACUUCUCAUUACAAAGUACACCAUUCAUUUACAAGAACAAGAAACAUAUACAUACUAUAUGAAAACAAGUUAACUAGAAUGUGAUAUACUUCUUCAUGAUACUUAGCAACAUUCUUGCUAAGUCAUGUUUUAUAACCAGAGUCUCCUGGAGGGAGAGCAUGAGUUUGUGUAUAGAUCUAUACGGUACUGACAAUCCCACACCUUGAUGUUAGCUACAGUUGGGACCGGCAGGUCUACGGGUGACAAAUGUCAUUUCUUUUUCGACACCUGAAGAACAUCGUGUUUUAUACUAGUCAAUUAAGUAUGGUUAUAACCUCAUUCACAUUAAACAUUAACUAAACAAUUUGGUUUACAAGACAAAUAUUUCUUCAGUGGUUUUAUUUUAAAUAAAACUACUAAAAGAUAUUAUCUUCCAUUCCAUACAUACAGUGAUGUUCACACAUGAACAAGGAAUACUAUUUUUCUAGUAAAGAUAGUUUACAUAUAUGGAAAACAUACAUUUAAACUAUUUCAAGUACAAACAUACAUUCAUACUAUUUCAAGUACAAACAUACAUUUAUACUAUUUCAAGAGAACAAAUCAUAAAAAUAGUUGGGUCUUGGGUAAAAGACUACUUUUCAUUUAAGUAGAAAAUAUAGGAUUUUCUGGGAAGUAUACUAACAUUUUCAUGAAACAAAUACAAACAUUAGACACUAAAUACUUAUGAACUCACCAACUUAAAUGUUAAUACUCUCUUUCAAAAUAACUUGUAUUCUCAGGGAACCAGUAGACAGGUACACUGGCACAGGUUUUGAGAAGACAGAGCAUGUUCAAGACUCGUCUUUUAUUUUUGCUAUAAAUUUUUGUGUCAUACAACUAUACAAAGAACACACAUGUAUUAACUAUUUUAUUAAUGCAAUGGAUGUUGUUGUUUGUUUUACUAUUGCACAUUGUUAUGAUACUGUACAUGACGUCCUUCGCCCCCAAAUCUUUCCUCCAUCUCGGUGUGGGGGUAUGACAAUAUAGUAGCCCUAAAAUAAAUAAUUAUAUAGCAAGGUAUUGGUCUUAAGGAUCUAAUUGUCAUAAUUUUAGAGAUUGGGGGUUAAAAGUGUAAAAUUCGGACUUAAUUUGUAUGUAUUAUUGAAGGUAGGGACUAGGUAACUUCUGGGACAUCAUUUGAAGAGAUUUUGGAGGCUAAGGGGUUGUUUGGUAAAUUACGGAUCGAAUUUGAGAGGAAUUAUGGAAGCAAGGGUGUAAAUGGUAAAUAUUGUACCUAAAUUGUAAUGGGUUUUAAUGCUGAGGGCCGAAAGGGUAAAUUAUGGGUUAGUUUUGAUAAUAUUUCUAAAGGGAAGGACUAUUUAUGUCAUUAUGGUAUGAAAUUUCGUAUACCGGUUAUAUAACCCCAGCAUCACCGGGCAUCAAACCCUAACCCUAAUGUGGAGCUGCAGCCGUCGGUUAAACCCUCCACCCUUCAUACUGCCACCUCCUAGCCUCGCCGGAACCGAUGAUCACCGUCACUCCCAUGGAUCGGACGAGUUGCAACACCCAUCUCUGUCAACGAUGCAAUCCCCGCUCCACCUUCUUUCCUUCUCACGACUCUCCAAAGCCGAUGUCGCAUCCUCUGCCGGCGAAGAUGAGGACCAACGAAAAGGACCGAUGUGGUCGUUGGGAGAAGCCGGAAGGACUGGAAAUUAGGUUGUCAUCACAACCGCCGCUAUUAUCAUUCGCUUCAUCCGUUCUUAUGUUGUUAUUUUGUCACCAUACCACCGUCAUCGUUGUGUCGCUUGUGUUGUCGUUGCCACCAUGUUACCUUAACAUGCCGCCACUAGCCACCAUGAAAGGUGGCUAUGAGUGUGCUUUGGUGCGUUUGCGUUUAUUUAUGUAGAGAGAGGGUGUUAUGUGUGGGUGUUUAUUUAGCCGGAAAAGUCACCACCACCACCGUGAGGUGGUGGCUGCCACCAUCUACCACCACUGACCACCACAAGGAUGAUUGUGUGUGUGUUUAGCUUAGUGUGUGUGUUUGUGUGUGUGUGUUAUUUGAUAUGUUGCAUUGUAUGAUGUAAUCGGUAAAGGAAUAAUGGAAAGAAACUCAUAACCACCACCGUGAGGUGGUGCCUGCCGCCACCAGUUGCCGUGUUGGGUGACAGUGUGCAUAGCUUGUGAUUGGAUUGCUUUUGGAGUGCUUGGACUCGAUUGGACUAGAACCCUAACCAACGCCGCGAGGUGGUGGCCGCCGCCAUGAGCCGUCGUUGACCACCACUACCCGAGGUGGUAGUGGGUGGUGCCCAACUAAUGAAACCCUAGUGGGCCUUAUGAGACCCUAGUGGGCCUAAUGAAUCCCUAAUUGAUCUAAGGACUUAGUUUUUGGGCCUAUUGGGCUAUGAUUGGGUUGAAAACCCUAAUUAGGGUUUAGAAAACCCUAAUUAGGGUUUAGAAAACCCUAAUUUUAGAAUUAUUGGUUUGGACUUAUCGGGACCGACAUAUUGGGUCAUUGGAAUGGAAUUGUGAAUUGCACCCGAUCAAACCAUAUGAUUUAUUUAGAAGAGUGAUGGACUUAAUGGAUUAAGUCCUUAAUGGGUUAAACGAGAAACACUUAGCCCUAAUUGUCAUUUUAUGUGAAAACCCUAAUUUCACUUGGGCUUUGAGUUGGGAGUUUCUAUUGGGGUUUAGUGAUUGGGCUAUUGAUGGGCCAUCCAAGAGCAAUCAAAUGGACUAAGAAUUUAUGGAUGGGCUUUAUGGUAAGGCCUAUGUGAUGGUUUGGGCCUAAUUUGGAAAAUUGGACCAUAGAUGGGCCAUAAUUGGGCCUUUAUGAUUAUAAGAUAUUGGGCCAUUAGAAAUGCCAAAUGUUUGGACUGGACUAAAUGGUUGGGCCUUAGAAUAAGACAAUGUUAAGGUUUGGGCCCAAUUUGGAAAAUUGAGCCAUAUAUUGGGCUUUGACUCGUAGUUGACUUUUGGGCCUUUGGAUUGGGCCUUGGGCUUGAAUCAAGCUAAGACAUGGGUAAAGCAGUCUUUUACCCCAAGCAUGGACUUAUGGGUAUAUGUUGGGACCCAAUUACUGAUUGGGUGUUAUUUUGAUGAUUGACAGUUCGAGAACCUGUUAUCCAACAACUAGAGUUUGUCUACGAGACUUCAGUAGUGUGACAUGAGUUACCUUCCAGCAGAAGUGGGUUGAAGGCACCAAUGUCGACCCACUAGUAGUUGAUUAUAGUUGAGAUGAUUGUCUUUGUGAUAAUUGUCUAGUAUGUCACUAUCUGUUAUGUGUUAUGUGCUAGUAUGCUAUGUUUUAUGUGAUAGUGGUAGUAGGAGGGGAAUAGUCCCCGUGUUACGGUCAUAAGGACCGAAGGGUAGGUCAGGCACCCCAUAUAUGUUUGACAGUAUGUUUAUGAUAUGUUAUUAUGUGAUAGUGAUAGUAAGAGGGGAAUAGUCCUCGUGUUACGGUUGUAAGGAUCAAAGGGUAGUUCAUGCACCCCAUAUAUGUUUGACAGUAAGUUUAUGCUAUGUUAUUAUGUGGUAGUAGUAGGGGUGAAAUAGUCCUCGUAGCCGGUUGAGAUAAACCGGAGGGUAGGUCGGUGCCCCAGAAUUGCCAGACAGGGUAAGUCGGGCACCCCAGAAUGGCCUAACAGGGUAGGUCGAGCACCCCAGAAUUGCCUGACAGGGUAGGUCGAGCACCCCAUAAUUAUCUGGCAGUAUGUGUUCGGUAUGGGAUGUGGUAUGAUGGGGGAACUCACUAAACUUUGUGCUUACGAUUUUCAGUUUUGGUUUCAGGUAUCUCGUUUUCAAAGGAAAGGAGCUAGCUCGAUCGCAACGCAUUACACUAUGUUUUCUGCACAUGAGAUCUUUGGGAUUGCACUCUGAUAUUGUCUUAUGAUAACAUGUUUUGAUUAUUGACACUUUGGUUUUGAAUUGGGAUGUUUUAUUACUGUUGGUGUAACACCUAUUUCGAGUAUCGGUUAGAAAGUACCAUUUGGGGGAAAUGUUAUGCAUGGACUCGGCAAGUUGGGAGUCUAACUCGUCGAGUAGGUUCGGAACUGACUCGGCGAGUAGGAAGGCCCGACUCGGCGAGUCGGAGCUGUUUAGGUAAAAACCCUAAUUUUGGGGUUUUUCCCCCUAUAUAAACAUCAUUAUCUGCCCCAGUGGCCUCCCUUAUCACAAUAGGAGAACGUUUACAACCGCAAACCCACUAGUGUGUGAAGUAAGAACGUUUGGGAGCUUAUCUUUGGGGUUUUAGGGAGGAUUCCAAGCUUGAAGAGGAAGUAUCAAGGGGGAAGUUCUAGAUCAAUCAUCUAUUUCGUGUUGGACUCCUGAAUGAGGUAUUAAUCUGCUAUCUUAAGCUUUGAUUUCUUUGGAAGAUUGUGGCCAUCCUUGAGAACAUAGAACCAAGUUUGGAUCUGGACCUAUCACAAGGAUAUGGUUCUAGAUCUAGACCUUCUUAGGUCCCAAUUUUCAUAAAGUUGUCUCCUUGGUGCACCCUAAUUCUUAUUCAUGCAUUAGAGACUUGUAAGAAGCUUGUUGAUGUAGUUUUGGCAUUAUGAGACUUUAUACGAACGUAAAGUUGGCAACUUUACAUGGUAUUAUCACUAGUAGAGUAUAGAUCUGAAGUUUGGGACCUUGAGUCCCACUGGAUAGGGCCGUAAACAUAAGGUACUAAGGGGACUCGACGAGCCAUGCAAGUGACUCGGUGAGUCGAGUGGGUUUUCUCGUUCAUGGCCAAGGGUUUAAGGUCAAGGGUGUUCGGUUGGAAGUUUACGACCGUAAACACCAAGGAACUCGACGAGUCACGGGUAUGACUCGGCGAGUUGGUGAGUCAAAUAGGAACUCGACGGGUGUCAGGUCACACUUGACGAGUCAGGGUCGACAUAGAUUAUCGACCUUGACCUUGAUCAGGGUAGACCCUGGGGGUAUUUAUGGAAUUAUGUUGAGUUAUUUAUUCAUUGAUUAUGGGCGGUUGAGAAGGAGCAGCGUGUGGGAUAUAUCUGACUUCGGCUAAUCAGUUCAGAAUUCGAGAGGGGAGUCUUCUCACCAUACUAAUGGGUCUAAGGCACCAAGGCCGACCCAUUUAUCUAGUUGUGAUGAUUGUUGCAAAUGUUCUAUUGAUACAUUAUGUAUUAUGUGAAGACCAUGCGGGGGUUCCCAUGGCAUAUAGUUAUAUAUGUAGUAUACUAGUUAAUUGUGUGGUAUUUGGUAUGCUGGUUAUCUUUGUGAUACUUGCAUGGAAGACCCCGGGGGGGCUCCCGAGGUAAUUGGACAUAAUACCAUGUGGGGGUUCCCAUGGCUUUCCAGGCUAAGACCAUGUGGGUUCCCGAUGAAAUUUUUACCCUUGAUUGUUGGGUCGUUACAUGUUGGUAUCAGAGCCUUUGUUUGAUGGAUUAAGGGAUACCUUCGGGUGUGUCUGAACUCAAACUGAGGAUCUGUAAAGUUUCCAAAAGCUUUCAAAAGAAAAUGUUUUAAGUAAAGAAUGUCUAAUACAAGAAAGGGUGUGGUGCAUUCAAUCAGCCGAGCUUAAGUAAGUUUCCCCAUAAUACCCACAUUUGUUAUCUGUUAUGAUUUGAUUAUGAAUCUAUGAAUUGCAUGCUAGUUAGGGCUAGGGGAGAUGCAUGUAUAUGUUGUAUGAGAUGGUAGACUUGCAUGCUAGUGCUGAACAGUCAGCAACAAGUUGGCCUGAUAUGUGAUACUUGUAGCCAUGAGGAUAUUGGAUGUCAUGCUGGAAUGAGAAUGAUAAUUAGUAAUUGUAACUGCAAUGUGUAUGUUUUGAAAAUUGUAUAUGGUUAGGAUCUUAUAGCCUUAGAAUACUUGGUUUGACCUUAUUUCCUAUGGUCUUAGGGUAGAGUCUAUUAUUCGACAGUCUAUUAGAUCCUGUUAUGUGUACAAUUUGCAUGCAUAAGGCAACCGACAGCGAGGAUGAAUGGAUGUGGACAACAUAGGUUGUGGUACAUGGACGGGAUGUACAAUGAUAACUUCGCAUGUUGGAGAGUGCCCUAGGGAGAGCCUAGGAUGAGAUUAGUGUCAAGUGUUACCUACUUGCGGAUUGGAUGUGAGGAUAAACUGACUUGUCUAGGGUAUGCUGGUUAGAUUUACCAAUUACCUGAAUGUUGCUUGCUUUGUGCUUUGUAGGACUCUUAUUAAUGUGAGUUAGAUACUAAGUGAAUAUGCUAGGUCACAUGUGGCACAAGCCGGAUAAUUUCAGAGUGAUGGAUUUGGCCCUAUUGUGCAACUCUCGUCUGAGUCCAACCGUUCUAGGGAUGGAUCUUUUACUUGAAGGAUUAUUUGAUCUCUGUUGUAUGUGGCUAUAUAAUGAGGUAGCUAGAUGACCUUUAAUGAGAAUCUUUCAGCAGCUGAGGGCAGGGAGAGGUUGGGAACCUAAGACAACCUAGGAUAUGCUCCAGUGAGCUUAGUGGGGCAGUUCGGUGAAGUUGGGAACCUAGGGGGAGCCUAGGAGGUACUACAGUAGAGAUCGUUUUGCUGUUUAGCAAAUGUUUAGUAUAUCGGUGGAGUAAGUGACUCAGAGGAUUCAGGAGGAUUGCCAAGGAAAGUCUGGAUAGGUGUGGAAGGUAGUAUUGGGCCCGUACUACUAAAAGCACAGGAUCCAUACUCGAAUCAGUGAGAGUCUUGGAGAAUCUGAGAAGCUUAUGGGAAGGAGGACUCUUGGUUAUGCCUUGAUCGUGGGAAUAGUUGCUUCACAGAAUGAGGAUGAGCGCGCAUGAGUAGGACCAGGGUUUGGUCCCAGCUCCGGUGGUGAGCCAGUUAGUGGAAGGACCGCUAGGAUUUUGAGUUCACCUUGGAUCAGGCGGCAAGGAUUAUGUGUCACAACUGUAAAUUUUGAGCCAUGUAAUCUAUACAUUCAAGUUAAUGUGAAUCAAAAACUUCAAGUAAAUACAACAUGCUAGAACUACAAAUAGUCAUCAAACAAUUGGAGACCCUAGAAGUUCUUGUUAAGUCUAAUUUAGGCUAGAACUUCCUUAUUGGAUCCAAAUGGGCCAAUAAGCUUCCAAUUAGACUAUCAUGGGCUUAGAACCCUAAUUGGGCUCUAAUUGGACCCACUCUUAUUUAUUUUAACAUUUUAGGUCAUGUUGGGCCUAUAAUGAAAUGAAUUGGAAGCUUUGGGCCAAGGAUAACCUAAACUAGCCCAACAAAAUGUAAAAAUCAUAUUAUAUUUUUUGGGCCAAAAAAAAUCAUUCAACUUAACUCCUAUGUGGGCUUAGGGGCAAUNNNNNNNNNNNNNNNNNNNNNNNNNNNNNNNNNNNNNNNNNNNNNNNNNNNNNNNNNNNNNNNNNNNNNNNNNNNNNNNNNNNNNNNNNNNNNNNNNNNNCCCCCGGACGUUUCCGCCGUCUGGUUCGGGGGUGUGACAUUAUGCGACCAAUUGCACAUUUGGGAUUGGAGACCAAGUCUCAGGGAUAGUUUGUAGUCAGGUUUAGAGUAGAGACUUCUCCAGCUGUUGCAGUGUGGCCGCGGAGAUUGAGCUAGUAAGUGGAUCAGGGUGCGAGACCCUGAAUGACAUGGAUCAUAGAGCCGAGGACAAAAGAUUGAUUAGGAAUACCUCAAUGCGAGAGGUUCAGGUUAGGUGAAUUUUUUGGAGGGUCUCGGGCGGAGAUCCAAGAGUUUGGAUCAGCUUUUGAGAGGCCAGCAAGGUCGGAUCCAAUGCACCGUUUGUAGAAACUACGCGAAGAAGUUUCGUUCCAAGGGUUUGGAUCGUCAUUGGGAUCGGAAUGAGGUGUUACAUUAUGUUCUUAGGGUGGUCAAGGUACCAUAGGAGGAGGGGGUCAAGAUUCCUUCAGAUGUUCGCGGAUAUGCUAUCUUCGGCCAUUUACGGUGGAUACCAGGUAUUUGUAUCGUUUGAGUAUUGUGAUGAGUUGGAUCUCGGGUUGGUUUUCUGCUAUUGUCUGGGUUAGCAAGGAUUGUCAGAUGUCAUUCAGUAUGUCGAGGAAUCUUUAAGAGAUCUUCAGACGGAUGUAUCUUGCGGAGCGGAUUCCGCGCGUACCGUGAUUGCUACGGGUCGUUGUCGGAAUCUGUUUAGUGAUCUGGGUUGCUACCGGUGUAGCAGGUAUGGCCACGUCGUCAGGGAUUGGCCAUAGGAAGCAAGUCCGUUGAAUUUUCGUGUGUUCAGGUGGACGAAAAGGAGGUCGACUGUCUGACGAUCGGGGAGGAGCAGUGAGUGUACCUGCUCCAGUCAUUUUCGGGGUUGGUUCAAGGGUUUGAACGAGGGAGUUGUGACUAGUUUCUUGUAGCCUUAGUAAUUAUGUUUGGAAGAGCCAUUGGGAUUGUCGAGGGAAGGGAAAGUUGUCGUUGAAGUUUUUGUUAAACUAUCCGUUCGUUGGACUCCGAGAUCUGGGCGUGAUAUCGCUUUUAAGUGUUUUGAAGUCAUUGAUGUGUUAGUUGGUUUAUGGGAAUUGUGUUGUUUUAGAAGGGUUAUUCAUGGUGUUCUAGCUUUGGUAAGCACCGAUCAUCAGCAAGGUGAACAUUGGAAUGUAAUGAGGAUUGGGAAUCCUCCAGUUUUUGUGUGCUGAGCAGACUUAGUUGAAACUAAGUGGGGGAGAAUCAUCCAGGUAUCCAGGACAAAAGAAAGGGUGAAAGUGAUGUAAGACUAUGGAGGAGCCGUAGCAUUCACUACUGGUCAGUUAGGGUAUAGUGUUGUAAGACUGCGGGGGAGCCGUUGCAUUCACUAGCAGUAGAGAGUGUUGUAAGACUACGGGGGAGCCAUAGCAUGCACUAGCGGUAGGGAGUGUUGUAAUACUACAGGGGAGCCAUAACAUUCACUAGCAGUAGAGAGUGUUGUAAGACUACGAGGGAGUCGUAGCAUGCACUAGCGGUAGAGUGUGUUGUAAGACUGUGGGGGUGCCGUAGCGUUCACGGAGUCUUUCAAGUGAUUUGGACUAGGGUAGGCUAGUUCGCAAGGUUGUGGGAGGGGGGGGGGCACAGCUUAUUUAGGAUCAUAACCAGAGGUGAUUGACCGAUCAGUUAUCUGGAGACGAUCCGGGUGGUAUUGGGAAUUCAGGUUGGAACCGGUAAAGACUGUUGAGAUAAGGGUUAGACCUUGUGAUACAGGAUCAUAUGGAUGGGUAGUGUAUGUUACAGAAGGGCUACGGCUGGGUAGCCCUGAUAUUGGAUCUCAUAAUAACCUGGUGGUUGGACCGGGUGCGAGACUGGAAGUCUCAGGGAAUCGGCUAAGGGUAUUUAGUAAUCAGUCGAGUAAAGGAUGACAGGAAGUCAUGGGGCAUUAUGCAAAUUCCAAUUCAAGUAUCUCUAGAUAGGAGCGAAGUAACAAUUCGGAUUGGAUAGGAACCUGUAACGCCCGUGUUUCUGGGAUUGCCAUUUUUAGCAAUGUANNNNNNNNNNNNNNNNNNNNNNNNNNNNNNNNNNNNNNNNNNNNNNNNNNNNNNNNNNNNNNNNNNNNNNNNNNNNNNNNNNNNNNNNNNNNNNNNNNNNUGAAAUCGGUCUUUUCUGGCCGAGAUUUUGGGGAUGUCACAGAACCCGAAUCGGCAAUUUGUGCAGGGCUUUGUUUCAGUAAGAUGGGAUGUAGGGCAUCUUUAUGCCAAGGGCAUCGAGGGCAGAAUUCCAGGGUGGUGAACGGGUUGGUUUGAUGGUAGUUUAAACUAUUGUGAUGUGUCUCGGGUGGCUCUAUCUGUAAUAGAGCCACGAUAUGUCAGAAUCAGGAAAUGGUAGGUUGGAGGAGACCGGGUAUGAUGUAAGACUACAACUAUGCUGGUAGUAUCCACCUUUUGCGUUGGAUUCAGUGACGACAGGUUGUCAUCCUAUCUCGAUCGGAUGGAUCAAAUGGAUUGAAGGGGAUAGGGCUGUUAUGGAUAGACGAGGUAUCCUUCGGAGGUCGCUGGGGACUGCUGAAUGUGUUUUGGCUCAGCAAUCGGGUAGGUGUCCAGUGUUCAGGACAGUUGGCAGACAGGGUGGGGGCCAGGGAGGUACCCGGUUAUUCAGCUGGAAAGCAGUCAUGUGGCAUCAAGAGGAGUAGGAGCGACUUCAGUGAUUUGGGGUCUGUGUAUGGAGUUGUUUUUUAUUUGUUAGCCGCAGUUGAUCGGUGACUUUGUUCUUUAGGAGGCCUCAAGGUAUGGCGAGUGGGAAGUAUUCUAUUUAGACUGGUUUUCUUAUGGAACCAGUCUGACGAUGAUCAUAUGUGGGCAGCCUGUCGGGGAGACAAACCACCUCAAGACUUUAGAUUUCAGAUGGAGCAGAUGUGAUCAGAUUUCAAGGAAUUCGUUCAUUCGUGGAUAUUGUGUUGCCAAAGGUGUCCCCCUGAAAAGGGAUUAUCAGGUUUUGGAAGAGAGGCAAGUUGGGGCCUCGGUAUACAGGUCGUUCAAGAUCUCGGCCCGGAUGGGCAAGGUAGCGUAUCACUUGGAUUUGCCGAAGGAGCUUAGCCAAAUUCACAACACAUUUCAUGUGUCGCAACUUUGGAAGUGUGUCACUGACGAGUCCGCAUUCGUUUCGUUGGACGACAUUUAGGUAAGUGAGAUUCUGAACUAUAUUGAGAAGCCAGUUGCAAUUCUUAAUAGGAAGACCAAGGGUCUUCGGAAGCAUGAAAUAAGGUUGGUAAGGAUGCAAUGGCAGCACUGAAAGGGGCUCUGAAUGGAUUUGGGAACUAGAAGAGGAAAUGCGAGAGCAUUGCCCAUAAUUGUUUGGGUCAGCAGACUUCGAGGACGAAGUCUAGUUCAAGUGGGGGAGAUUUGUAACACCUGUUUCGAGUAUCGGUUAGAAAGUACCAUUUGGGGGAAAUGUUAUGCAUGGAAUUGGCGAGUUGGGAGUCCAACUCAUCGAGUAGGGUCGAGGCAUUUUGGGCACGGGUCGGAACUGACUCGGCGAGUCGGAAGGCCUGACUCGGCGAGUUAGAGUUAUUUAGGGAAAAACCCUAAUUUCGGGGUUUGCCCCUAUAUAAACAUCAUUAUCUGCCCCAAUGGCCUCCCUUAUCACCAUAGGAGAACGUCCACGGUCGCAAACCCGCUAGUGUGUGAAGUAAGAACGUUUGGGAGUUUAUCUUUGGGGGUUUUAGGGAGGAUUCCAAGCUUGAAGAGGAAGUAUCAAGGGGGAAGUUCUAGAUCAAGCAUCUAUUUCGUGUUGAACUCCUGAAUGAGGUAUUAAUCUGCUAUCUUAAGCUUUGAUUUCUUUGGAAGAUUGUGGCCAUCCUUGAGAACAUAGAACCAAGUUUGGAUCUGGACCUAUCACAAGGAUAUGGUUCUAGAUCUGGAUCUUCUUAGGUCCCAAUUGUCAUAAAGUUGUCUCCUUGGUGCACCCUAAUUCUUAUUCAUGCAUUAGAGACUUGUAAGAAGCUUGUUGAUGUAUUUUUGGCAUUACGAGACUUUGUAUGAACGUAAAGUUGGCAACUUUACGUGGUAUUAUCACUAGUAGAGUAUAGAUAUGAAGUUUGGGACCUUGACUCCCAAUGGAAAGGGCCGUAAACAUAAGGGACUAAGGGGACUCGACGAACCGUGCAAGUGACUCGGCGAGUCGAGAGGGUUUUCUCGUUCACGACCAAGGGUUUAAGGUCAAGGGUGUUCGGUUAGAAGUUUACGACCAUAAACACCAAGGAACUCGACGAGUCACUGGUAUGACUCGGCGAGUUGGUGAGUUAAAUAGGAACUCGACGAGUAGGGGUGAGCAUUUGGACCGGCCCGAACCGAACCGGACCGGACUGACUCUUGGACCGGACCGGUUAUGGAGAAUUUUGUGGACCAUGGACCGGACCGGAUGAGUCGUGUCCGUGUCCGUGUCCGUGUCCGGGUCCACGUCCGGGUUUUCCGGUUUUUGGACCCGUUUGGACCGGUACAACUUUAAUUGCAUAGAGUAUAAUAAGUAAUCUACAUUGAUGUAUAAUAUUAUAACUUGCAAAAUUAAUAUGUUUCCGUUUCAUGCCUAACUAAUCUACAUUGAUGUAUAAUAUUAUAACUUGCAAUUUGCAAAAAUUAAUUUUCCAAAUAAAAGCAACUAACAUAUAAAUCAAGUUCACCAACAAAAGUUAAACAAUUUUAAGACAAACAUACAAAAGUAUUACCGUAACAACAAAAAUCAUAGUUUAAACUUUAAAAUCAAUCAAACUAACAAAUUUCAUAAACUCAUAAUCUAAUCUUCCAUUGGCCUCUUCCCCAUAUCAUUGUCAUCCAUAUGUAACAUAUUUAAAGCUUGUGCAAUCUCUACAUAAACACAAAUGAAAAUGUUGUUAGUAUUUAAUAAAAAGUAAUAAUUGUAUAAAAAAAGAAUAAAGAUUGUAAUUUUUUUACCCAAAGCUAUAUCAUCAUCGUUCAAGAUGUCACCAACGUUGUCAACUAUCGGAUUUGUAAACUUUAUCACCCAAUCUUGGGUGCAUAACAAAGCUUCAACUAUCAAUGUCGAUAAACUAGUUUGAUACUCACUUACAACUCUACCACAAGUGCUAAACGCGGACUCGGAAUUAUAGUAUAAAAUAAUACUAAAAAGCUGAAAUAUUUCAGCUUUGAUAGCUCUACUUUGAAGGAUUGUAACUCAAUGAAUAUAAUACCAAAAUAAACAAAAUUAUAGUCUAAAUUCAUCUACAAAUUGUAAACUAAAUGUUGGAAAAAACCGUAGGUCAAUCCGACUUAAAACGAAUGAGUUAUGGGUGUUUAAAAAACGUCACAGAUUAUAAAAUCUUGCUAAAAAGCUGAAUUUUUUCAACUUUGAUAGCUCUACUUUAAAGGAUUGUAGCUCAGUGAAUAUAAUACCAAAAUAAACAAAAUUAUAGUCUAAACUCAUCUAAAAACUGUAAACUAAAUGUUGGAAAAAAUCGGAGGUCAAUCCGACUUAAAACGAAUGAGUUAUGGGUGUUUAAAAAACGUCACAGCUUACAAAAUGUUGCUGAAAAGCGGAAUUUUUUCAGCUUUGAUAGCUCUACUUUGAAGGAUUGUAACACGGUGAAUAUAUUACCAAAAUAAACAAAAUUAUAAUCUAAAUUCAUCUACAAAUUUUAAACUAAAUGCUGGAAAAAACUGCAGGUCAAUCCGACUUAAAACGAAUGAGUUAUGUGCGUUUAAAAAACGUCAUAAAAAUCUUAAUCAUGUCCAACCGGUUCUAAACCCGGUAAAAACCGGACCGGACCGGGAAAAAAACCGGACCGGACCGGCGAGAAAUCUUAGAACCGAGAACCGGACCGGGGGUCCAAAAAAACGGUCCGGUCCACCGGUCCAAAUGCUCACCCCUAUCGACGAGUGUCAGGUCACACUCGACGAGUCAAGGUCGGCAUGGAUUAUCGACCUUGACCUUGAUCAGGGUUGGCCCUGGGGGUAUUUAUGGAAUUAUGCUGAGUUAUUUAUUCAUUGAUUAUGGGCAGUCGAGAAGGAGCAGCGUGUGGGAUAUAUCUGACUUCGGCUUAUCAGUUCAGCAUUCGAGAGGCGAGUCUUCUCACCAUACCAAUGGGUCUAAAGCACCAAGGCCGGCCCAUUUAUCCAGUUGUGAUGAUUGUUGUGAAUGUGCUAUUGAUACAUUAUGUAUUAUGUGAAGACCAUGCGGGGGUUCCCAUGGCAUAUAGUUAUAUAUGUAGUAUAGUAGUUGAUUGUGUGGAAUUUGGUAUGCUAGUUGUCUUUGUGAUACUUGCAUGGAAGACCCCGGGGGGCUCCCGAGGUAGUUGGACAUAAGACCAUGUGGGGGUUCCCAUGGCAGUGGGCUAAGAUCACGUGGGGGUUCCCGUGGCACCCGAUGUAAGACCUUGGAGGGUUUCCAGGGCAUCCUUAUAUGUUUGUAUGUUUAGCUCAUAUCUUUAUAUGUAUAGUUUGCAUUAUGUAUUGUUUGGCAGGAAGACCUUGUGGUGGUUCCUAAGGCAGGAAGACCAUGUGGGGCUUCCCAUGGCAGAUAAGACCACAUGGGGGUUCCUGUGACACUAGGUGUAAGACCUUUUAGGGUUUCCAUGGCUUCCUUAUAUGAUUCUAUGCAGGGCUUAUGUGGUAGAGAUAGAUUUUAUAGGUAAUAUGAUAUUUGUUAUGUGGAUUGUGUGUGGGUAUGCUCUGGGGGACUCAAUAAGCUUUGUGCUUACGGUUUACAGUUUUGGUUUCAGGUAUUAUUGAUUGGGAAAGAAGAGCUCGGACUGAUCGCAAUGCAUACACCUACGAUUUCCGCAAUGAAUGAUUUUGGGAUGAACUCUGAUAAAUGAUUUACUUAGCGAUGAUUUAAAAUGUUUGAAAUAAAUGGUAUCAAUGUCUUAGCUAUAAUAAAAUGAAAUUUUUACCCUUGAUUGUUGGGUCGUUAUAGUUGGUUUUAUGAAUUAUUAAACUAAAGAUGAAAUUUUUGGUCUUGAAAAUUGGGAUGUUACAUUGAAAAUCAUUUCAAAUAAAAGAUUUAUCAGAGUUCAUUCCCAGAAAUGACAUAUUGCGGAAAACAUAGGUGUAAGAUUUGCGAUCGUCCCGAGCUCUUUUAUUUGAAAAUUGAAGGUACCUGAAACCAAAACUGAAAAGCGUAUGCACAAAGCCUAGUGAGUUCCCCAAAUACCACAUACCAUACAUAUCAACAUACUACCUAACAAAUCUGGGUGCUAGCCUACCCCUUCUGUCUCUUUCAACCGGAUAUUGUCUAGUCAUAUAAGCACAUAAAUCACAUACUGACAUACAUAACCGUGAGCCAUACAUAUCAUUCAUAUAUCAUAAUAAAUAAAGAUGCUAUGUGUUGAUACAUAGUCUUGCUAUUAUGCCACAGACCGCCACGUGGUCUUUCUUUCCAAGCCGGGGGCCACCCCGUGGGUCUUACAGAUAAGUGCCAAGAGGAACCUCUUGGUCUUCCAUGCAAGCAUCACAAAGACAUCUAACAUACAUACUACUCUACUUAGCUAAUUAGCAUACAGUGUGCUAUGAGCUACCUCCUGGUCUUUUAUACAUAAUGCCUAGGGCUAACCCUCGGGUCUUCCUAUCAUACAUAAUAGCAUACAGUGUGCCAGGAGCCGCCUCCUGGUCUUUCAUACGUAAUGCCUAGGGCUAACCCCCAUGUCUUCCUAUAUCACAUAAACCAAAUGGGCCGGUUAUGGUUCUUUCGAUCCAUACAAACAGUGAGGAGACUCACCUCGAAUGCAGAAGCUCCCCGGAAGAAAUCCUUAGUUGCUGCCCCGCCGACUUUCCGAGCUAUCAAUACCAAAAUCGUUUUCGACGUUCUUUAUAUCCAUGGAAAUGUAUUAAGGAGCUCUAUAACCCUAUAUAAUUACUUUUGACUUGAAACACAUCGAACUAAAAUCCAUAAUUCAUAAAAGAAGUCUGAAAACACUACAUUUCCAUUUUACCCUUUGACUCCAAAGUGCAAACCGAACUAUUGGGUCACAUAUCUACAUUACCUACAUCCAAAUGAGCCUAAAUCUUACCUUUUCAAAGGCCCUAAUCCUUAUGAUGGCCGCUCUUCGGGACAUAUCCUCGAAUUAGGAAAUGAUUCGGAACAGGGCGUUACAAAUGCAUGACACUGAAAUCGAAAAUUAAGAUCGGUUAAGUAUUAGCCAAUAAACGAGAGUUGAAGAUCUCAUGAAUAGGAAUUCGUCAAUAUAAAGAAGUCGAGAACGGAUGUCGUAUGGAAGAGUUAUAACUUUUAUACGGACUUUAACAAUCUAAGUCUGUUAAAAAUAUAACUUUAAAAAUAAAGUGAAAAUUAACCGACAUAGGCUAAAUGAAAGUUGUAGUACUCGUUGAUAGCUACACGUGGAUAUAAAAAAUUUCGAAAACGAAGCUCAUAUGAGGAAGAUACGAUUUUUAUAAGUUUUUCGAAAAACGCCACGCGUAGGUACGUAAGCGCGACGCGCACGUGCUCUAGAUGGUGGGUGAGUCCCACCAGAUUUAAGACACAUGGCACACGAAGGGUGGAGCAGCAUCAAUCAAUAGGCACAAUGUGCCUCAGGAGGGUGCGCGGUGCACCCCAUUAACCCUAUAUAUAUAUAUANNNNNNNNNNNNNNNNNNNNNNNNNNNNNNNNNNNNNNNNNNNNNNNNNNNNUAUAUAUAUAUAUGUUCCGUUUUCAUCUCAUUUUCUCACCUAUUCAGCCUCAAAUCCUCUGGAAACCCUCCCACACCCCUAGCCCCGAUACUCCCUAGUUCCCGGUUACUUUAGCAAGGCUCUGAGGUAUUUGAGAACCUAGAUAAAUUGAAGUGCUCAGGUCGGAGUUAUGCCCUGGCAAUUUCUCGGUUUUUGCUAGAAACUUUGUAAGUUAAGCUACACUUACUAGGUUUUUAGGAUAGCUUAUGUUUAUAACUAUAGUUAUUAUUAUGAGCCUAUAAGUACCUGAUUAGUCAUUAAUUCAUGUUAAAUACAUUGAUUGUUCUACUUAUAGGAGAGGUGUCUAGAAUUGUCACAUUGGCUUGGUUGUUGGAUUUUAGAAAGUUAUAUGCCGAAAUGGCCCUGCCUCCCAACUGUCCUGCCUGACUGAUCCUUAUUUGAUAGCCAUGAAAGUAUAUUUGGAAUUAAUGAAGAAUCUAACUUCUACCAGAUUGCCAUAGAUAUUAAUAAGAUAUAAUAGUAUAGGAUAAUACAUAAUAAAUACGUACCACCCGUCAGAUCAUUCAAAGGAUAUUUGAUAACCGUCUGAGUAAUUAUCCAAGUGGGUUGUCUCACUAUACUAUGUAUUAAAAUAUAUGUCCAUGUAUGUUAGGAUAAAGAGCUAGUAGAGUAGAGUUGAUAGUAUAAUAUAUAUGUACUUAAAUGUUAAUGUACUUGAAACUGGUAGAGUAGAAAGUAUAAAUGUGCAUGUGCUAGUAGAGUCUAAAGUGCAGUCUUUAGGUGUGUAAUUGUUGUGAUAUUUGAAUUGUCUAUUAAUAUUUAGUUAGGGGAUGGUAGCAGAACCGCAAAGAGGUCGAGAGCCUAUAGGCCCGCGUGUUGACGAAAUGGCAUAUAGGUCGUAGUACACAUAGACCCAUGUUGAAGAAAAAUGGUUGGGCUGUAAGCCUAAGAUACACAUAUUAUUGGCAGAUUGUGAGUCAUUAUUUGUAUGCAUGUAUAUGUAUUGUGGUAUAUGGUAUUUUAGGGACCUCACUAAGUUUCGUGCUUACCUAGUUGAUUAUAAUUGUUUUUCGGGUGCUUCAUUGAUUCAUGAGAACGGCAAGGUUCGACAGUACAUACGUGCAUUCGUGCCAUGUUUACGCAUAUUGUAAUUAUACUCUAAUAUAGUUGAAUAAAUAAAAAUGAAAUUUUUAUGUUGAAAAUCGGUACGUCACAAGUAUGCUAAAUAUUUUUGUUCUUUGGGUUUGUGUUUAUGGUUGAAUACCCAAUAUAGUAUAUGGGUUUAGGGUUUUUUUUGUUGGUGGUAGAUGAUGAUGAUGAUGUUUGAUUUGUGUGCUUGUAAUAGUUAGUAAGGAAAAUUUGGCUUUAUAUGGACAUAAGGUCAGAAGUGACCUAUCUUUUUAGUUACCAAAACCUAAUUUAGUCGGUUUAAGUAGCCACAUUAGCAUUGACGUGGAUGAUGUAUGGAAGAAACGACGUCGUUUUAGUCUAAAGCGUAUUAAGGAUGUGUACACCUCACGUGUGUGACUGUUCUCCCUAUAUAAUGUCCUUUGUGCCUUAAAAUGGUUAAAUUUCCAAACAUUAUUACCACAAUUCUUCUAAAAACAUCCAUACCCUAAUCUCUUGAAAAAUGUUGAAUGUUUCUUCACAUACUCACAAUUGGUCGUUCAACUACAAGCACCAUCUGGAUGACAAUGCUUCCAGUGGCUUCCGUUUACAAGACAUGUAGAUUAUCCUACUACAAACGCAGUUAGAGAUGUCACUUAUGUUGCAAACAAGCUUGAGCUAAAGGUGGAUGAUCUUAAGGUUGGUCACAUUGAUGUUUCCAACAUGUUCGGACGAUAUGAAGAACCAUUUCUACUCCUAUAAGUUGCUUGUGUGAAGGUGACAACAAAUUUUAUGGUGAUCAAGUCGAUGGUGAACAAAAUGACAGGGUUUUAUGGGUUUGGUUAGUGUUAUUGGUGUUAGGAUUGCUAGUUACAUGUUCUUCCACUGAUGGAGGUUAAAUAUUUUGGUUUUUUGGGUUUAUGUUUAUGAUUGAAUACCCAAUAUAGUAUAUGGGUUUAGGGUUUUUGUUGUAACUUCUAAAUGUUAUAUGAUUAUUUAUGAAGAAGGACUUACGAGUUUUUACAACUAGUUUAAGAAUGUAUUCCAUUCCAUAAAAGAGAUUCUUUAUCAUUUACUAACAUGAUUUUAAAAAUGAUUUUCGGGAUUCCCAUCAGUGUAAGGAAUGUGUCAAUUCUUUUAACUUUAAAGAUGACAAAUCCAUAUAUUACUUAGUAGGUAUUCUAAGUCCCUAAACUAUAUAUUUUGAAUUUUUGAUAUGUAUUUAGAUAAGUGGGAAGAUUGAAGAUCUUAGAGGAGGACUUGGACAUUUAAAAUGUCAUUUAAAACUUUUGUUUGGAAACUUAUUAAUGACUUAUACUAUGAGAUCAUAUUUUUUUCCGCAAAUUAUGAUUUUAAAAGAAUACUAAGUGUUUUAAAACGAUUUAAUCUUUUAAACUAAAAUAUAGGUGGGGUGGCGAGAAGAGACGAGGUGGGUGAUGAAAAAAUCUAUUAGGCUGCACUGAGUGCAUUUAGCACACCAUCGGCAGCAGUGACAUGGACCCCAUGAACUGCAGACCCUGAACUAGUCAUGUCAGGGCAACUCAACAAUGACAAAUUUAGUCUUUCUUUUUUUUCCUCCCUUCUUCCUCCCUUUCUUCCUUGUUGGAGGUGAGGUGGAGCUUGAUGAGCUCAACACCUCUCCCCUUCGGCCUUUAGGGAUUAGGGAUUUAGGAGGGUGGGUUUGUGUUGGUGGGACCCACAUGUAUUUAUUUAUUAAAUAAUUUUCCUUAUAAGAUAAUAAUGGUAAAAGAAAAAUAAGGUAUAGCAUAAAUGUCAUUUUCAAGUAUGGCAUUUUCAAGUAAUUUUUCUAAUCAUUAGUUUUUCAAAAUCUAUCUUUUACUCACUAUUCACUAAUCAUUCUAAAACUAAUGAAACCUAGUUUUAAUCAGGUCAGUCUAUCUAUCUAAUAUCAAUCAGUCAUGUUUGGUUUAAAAAUGGUUGUGCUAUAAGUACCCCUUAGCCUUUAAAAACACAAAAGACAGAGCAGAAGCUUUAUAAGAACAAAACAAACAUAUUUCACCUUCUAACAAACAACAUUCAAUCACAACAAGAAGCACAAAAAGCACAUAAUCUAAGUUAAGUUAAGUUGUAAUAAACAACAUUCCGCCAUUUUUGAUCAAAGUCCAAAGGGCAGAACAUGUAGUCCAACUGAAAAAAGAGACCUGAAUUUACAACACCCCAAAAAACAAACCACAUUCAUCAUUAUCUUCUUCUAAUGAAGAUCAAAAGCCCCACCAUCUCCUUGACUCACAAGCAACUCCUAAAUAACAACAUCAAACAAACAAACAUUUCAUCAGUUUCCAGAAUCUUCUAGAAGGGACUAAACACAACCAAACAUGAAUAAUAUAUAUACCAUUUUCUUUGCAGCCACAGACUGCUGAAGCCUUGCUUGCUUCUCCCUUCUGCACUCCCCACACCAAUUCAAAUACUCCUUCUGAUGUUUCCUCAACUCUCUAAACACAGAACUGCAAAAUAAAAAACAAAAAUAAAAUUAAUUAAAAAUUGGUCACAUAUAAUAUUAAAAAGUUGAAAAUUUAAUUAAUACCUUCUGCACCACAGCAGUAAAUUCAUUCUCUGUCCUGAUGUGGUGGCUUGUGCACCAUGUCGAUGUCGACCACGAUGAAUAAUCGCACGUCCAGGUAAAUGUGCAUGAUCAUAAAUUUCCUGUAAAAUUAAACAUGAAAAUGAAUUUUUAUUUAUAUAAUAUUACAACGAAAAUUUAUAAACAUACCUCAGGAUGUGUUUCAGUAUUCACAUGUUUCUCACAUCGAACACCUCUAAAAAACAACUCCCCACCAGUAAAAUUCUUCCCCAAGCAUACAUUCAAAGUUACCUCAGAGUCAUCCACAUGGAACCCUAAAAAAUAAACAAACAUAUAUAUAUAUAUAUAUAUAUAUAUAUAUAUAUAAAGNCAUAUAUAUAUAUAUAUAUAUUAAUUACAAGGAAUAAAUCAAAUCAAAUAAAAUCAUUAUUUAAAAUAAAAAAACAUAUAUACAUACCCAGUUCAACAUCUCUAUCCAUUCCAUAUUCAACUACAAAUCCAUGAUGGGAAUCAAGAGAAUACCCUCCAACAUCAAGGAAGAAAACUGCAUAUAAUUUCAAAACCAGAAACAGAUUUAAUAACAGAGAUCUUGAAACAAUUCUUCUACACUUUUUAUAUAUAGAUAUAAAAAAAAACUUACUUUUUGAGAUAUGGCGAAUGAACUCUUCCAUAAGCUUCUCAAGCAUGGAUUCCAUGCCAAAGUCAUCAAGAACAGCACCAUAUUUGUUCAUGGUAUUGGGUCGCAUGAUUCUGAAUUUUGUUUCAUGGACCCAUUUUUCAAAAUUUUCUACCUAAGGCAGCAAUCACAACCUGAUAAGACAAUGUCCGAGAUAAGUUUUACCCAAUCACAGGAUUAUGAUAACAAAUGAAUACCUCAUUUAGCAACAUAUCACAGAAACGUGGCUGGAGCAUAUCGAAUGUAUACACUCCUGGAGCAGGUUCAGACAUUAUGCUUCUGAUACUUUCGUCUCUGUUCUUAUCAUUCGCACUAAAUGCCUUCCAAAAGGAUUGGACAAAAAAGCUUGAAGGAUUCAAUGUAUAAAGUUCUCUGUACAGAGGCUGACAAGAAAAUCAAAAUGUCACAGUUUGAUUUUGAUAGAUGUAAACAAGAAGAACCUUUCACUUCCACUCAAGAUGAAAUUUACCUGGUAAUUGGAUAUGAUCUUUUGCCUGUACUCUCUGUGCUUCUGGUCCUGUUGAAAUGAAACAAUGGAAAAGAUGAUUAACGAUUCCUUCAGAUCCUCUAAAUAUCAAACAGAAUGCAAAAUUCGUGUGUAAUAUUCUACGCAUAUGCAAUUUAGUCUUGAAAACAAAUCAAUUGCUCAUCAUCCACGGAAAAUUCAAAUUUAUGCAAGCAAUGCAGCAUAAAGCGAUGUUUAAUGCAUAUGCUUACUCGAGUACGCUCUCCUUCAGUCGAAUAACGACGCAGAAUGUCCCGCAUGUACUUAUACUUUGUGUCUCGAGAAGCAUUCAAGAGAUUUGGAGGCAAGUAUCGCUCCAGAGAACUGAAAAGCAGGGGAGUGAACUCCAUCCCUAGAUCGUCGUAGUUUUCCGCCUUGUGGUCUUGAUUAGGGUUCAAUCGGAGACGGUAGCUGGCGUUGGACGGCGCUGCACCAGUUCCGUUACCAUUACCGUUGGUCACGGCAGCAACUGCCGUCGACAUAGGGGCCGAUGACUCAUUUCCCCUUUCAACGGCCUUAUCAAGAGACAUGGCAGUUUUGUGCAGAUUGAAGGGAAAUUUUAGGGUUUGAAAUGUAGGAACUUUGUGGGUGCAUAUUAGGGUUUGAUUGUGGCCAAAUUAUAAUGUGUUUAAUGUUUUAAAACCCGAACCGAUUAAUUGAAUCCGAAUUUGAUUUGAUAAACCGAUACACGAUGGAACCACGUGUAAUCUAUUAAUUGGGGAAUGGGGAUGAUUCGGUCGUGAUGAAACUCGACAUCAUUCGACUGUAUUGAUUGAUGACAACUCGAUCGAACAUGUAACUAAUGCAUGAUUGUGUUAUUAUUGAACCCUAAAGUCAUUAUUUAUGUAACAUCCAUAAAAAUCCAAGACAUUUUAAAACUUUUUAAAACAUUUAAAAAUCAUUAAGUUAUUACAAUUCGUUUUCAAAAUAGUAUCAUAUCAGAGUUCCCAGAAAUCAUAAUCAUAAAUCGAAGAAGUGUACGGUCACGCCUUCGCCUUCCCACGAUCGUCCGAAGUACCUGAAACAAUAAUCGAUAAAUGUAAGCUCGAAGGUUUAGUGAGUUACCCCCAAAAUACCAACGUCAUACAUAUAUAACCAUAUCAUAUAAACAUAUAAGCAACAACAUGCAUAAUGAGCCAUCAGUCGGACUGGACCGACUCCCGGUCCUCAGUCUAUCUGGACCGCUCUCCGAACCCUUGGCACGUCUGGAUCACCCUCCUCGGGGCCUUUAGCCUAUCCGGACCGCUUGUUGGGCCUUCGGCCUGACAGGAUUUGCCCGGCCCGGGCCUAGAGUCUACCCGGUCCGCCCAGGAUGUCUUGGCCUACUGCACACAGCAGGACUUGCCUCAACCCUUUCCCCAAACCAACAAACAUGUGCACAUACAUAUAAACAAGUAAACAUGCAAAUCUAACAGAUCACUAAUCAUGGCAACCAUCCUAUAAUCAGGACACCGAUCUAACCGAUCACUAACAUAGCAACCAUCCUAUAACCAGGAUAUUGAUCUAACCGAUCUCUAACAUAGCAAUCAUCCUAUAACCAGGAUACAUAUCAUAAAGCAUAACGUGUAAUAAACCCAGAUACACAUCCAAAAAGGGCCGACAUUGGUGCCUUAGACCCAAUUGAUAUAGUGAGGAUAACUCAGCUCUCAACGGUCGAAUUGAAGUGAUAAGCUCAAGCUCUCGGAUCACCGUAACAAACUUCACCACCUAUAUUCACCAUAGAACCAUAUCCAUAAAUUUCCAAUUUCCCAAAAUACCCUAGAAGUCAACUAGUCAACCCUUGAGUCAAAGUCCAAGUCAAUGGUCAAGGUCAACAGUCCAUGUUGACCCGACUCGUCGAGUGCAGUUCACCGACUCAUCGAGUCCUUCUUGAACUCGAGAAGUCGUGAAAUCCCCCAUCGACUUGUCGAGUUUCCCUACAACUCGCCUAGUUCAUGCAUGUUCAAAAGUCGGGAAAACCCUAGCUGACUCGCUGACUCUUCCUACUGACUCGCCGAGUCCAUGCAGAAACCCUUGCACGACAAUCUUCAUCGGACUCGCCGAGUUGACCAAUCAACUCGUCGAGUCGCUUCAAUCCAACACUCAUUCAGACGAAUUUAAGCUACUACAAAGGUCCAUAUUGCAUAUCAAGCUUCCCAAGGCAUGUUUAUCACGCAAAGUUGCAAACUUUACGUGCAUGCAAGGUCUUAAGAUCCAAAACCAAGCUAAAAAAGAGGCUUAAGGCAAUGGGAAGGCCAUAGCUUGACAAAGGCUGAGACUUUAUGACCAUAAGGGGUUAAAGGGGUCCAGAUCUGAAGUUGCAACCUCAGAUCUUGGCCCAAAUCCGGAAAUACCACCACAAUACCCUAAAAAGGGUUCUAAACCAUGAGUGAAAAGAUCUACUUAAUGGAGAGCCAAGGUAACGACUUGUUACCUUCCAUGAGAUGUUAAUAUGGAAUAGAGUUCAGAUCCCCAACUAUCCUUUGCUCAAAGCUUCUUGAUCUUCAAGUUCCUCUCACCAAAAUCCACAUUCCAAGCUUAAAGCACACAAGUAUAGAGAGUAAACACGAAUUAGGGUUUGAGCUCGAGUGUGAGGGGUGUAAGGGAGGCCAAGGGAGGCUAAUGACUCUUUAAAUAGGGUGCAAUACCCUGGAAAUUAGGGUUUCAUCCACCAGCUCUAACUCGUCGAGUCUGUCCUCCGACUCGCCGAGUUGAUCACUUAAGUGUGCGGUCCAAACGCGUUCCUACUUGACGAGUCAGGGCAUCCAACUCGUCGAGUAUACUUUCAAUAUGAAAGAAUGAAGCUGAAAUUUAAUACUUAAGAGUCGGAGCGUUACAAUUUAUGUGCAUAUGUAAUCAUUGAUAUGUUAUGUCACGAGGCUAAAGUCUUAAAAGACCAUCGAUGAUGAUAAAGUGAUUUUAUGACAUGAGUUUAUAGAGUAGUUCAUAUAUAAUGUUCUUGAUAAAACUAAUGAUUUCAAUAUCAAAGAAAAAUAGUUGAAAAUGAAGUAUGAGGAGUCGUCAAUAAAAAUUUGUGGGUGAAUUGUUCAUUUGAGGCAUCACGAGCAUUUGUGUGUGUCAGGUAUGACUAUAUCUAAAUAUUUGAUUUAUUAAUCAUAUUUUGAGUAGUGAUACCUGAUGGGUUUUAGUAUAAUACAACAUCCUAUGAUGCACAUACAACCCUAAAUGCUUUGGAUCUAUGUUUUCUCUAAUUAUACAUGCAUUGUUGUUUCCAAAGCAUUAAGCCUACAACUAGCAUACAAUUUACAUAAACAUCAUAGAAAUGAGUUAUAGAAUUACUUAUUUGUUGUAGCUUGUAGUUUGGCCUUUAAGAACUUAGCACCAAUAGUGUGAAUGCCUCAAAUGGAAUCACAACACAUGUUUGGACAGAGACAAUUUUUGAGAGAGUAUGGUGUACACAAAUCGGUUAUGGCUCUCCAAGAACAUUCUAGUUUCUCUAGCACCAAUUUCACCAACCAAGGAGUUUAUUAUAUAGUGUGGCACAACUAGGGUUACACCAUGCAAACCCUAAUAUGCAUGACUUUCCACAUUCCUUAGGCUCCAUGGGUUUUAACCUCCAUGAAGUAUCCAUGGGUCACCACAUGGGUUUAACCCAACAUAAAGAACUAUGGAUCAUAAGCUCACUUUAUAAGAAUGAAUGAUUUACACAAUCAAUCCCCAUAUAUUUAAUUAGUAUCUUUUGAUCACAAAAUUAGUUCCAAAUUAGUUCUUGAUCAAUACUAAUUAAAUAAUAUGAUUUUAUAUUAAUAUAUUAAAACUUAUAAUAUAUUAAUAAAUCACAAAUAACUUCUUCUCAAAAGUUCGUCCUAUCAAGUUGUCGUGGUGAUACGCAACCUAAAUGGAUCAUGCUUCUCUCGGGUUAAGUACAUACCAAUUAUAGUUAUGAACUUAGACACUAAUCCCACUUGGAUAAGUCUAAUAACUAUUAUUGCAAGUACAACUUGAAAACCGACUAGCAAUUGUAGCUCUUAAAAGCUGUUGUCGAACUCUGGCCUAAUCAAUGACACGUCCAUUAGAUAAGGGAUCAUAUAUUCCUCCAUUAUAGAUAUCAUAUGGACAUGAUACAUGGAUUAUAAUCAUUCUUUAUGUCCAUCUGUUGUUUUCCAAUUUUCGAUUUAUGACGACCGACUAAUUGAACAAAUCAAAUUAGUCCAGGCUUGGCCAAAUGCUUAGAGGUGUCAUCAUUAAAUCAUCGAGGGGCCCACAGAUAUUGAUUUUAUCCCUCCAAGGGUAAAAGGAAUGGAUAAACUUUGACUCAAAUGCUUUCUUGUACUUACUCAUCAAAUCACACACAACAAUAUUUUUUAUAACACCAAGUUACUGGUGCGUUUACAUAUGUCAAUGUGCAAUCGAAUUGUAAACUACAACUCACAUGUCUUGGUUUCAAGAAUAUAAGAUAUUAUCGUCUCAUGAUCACUUGUGAUAAAAUCCAUGAAGUGAUUCAACUGAGCGUGGAUUGAAUCCAAUACUCGAAUCUUAUUCCAGGAGCACUCAUGAACACUGUAGCUAUGUCUAAAACACCUAGACAAACUACAGACCCAUUCAUGACAGUCUUGCCUUAAUACCUUCUUCCAAAGUAUGAUCGAUUGUGGAUGGUUUGAAUAGCCUAGUUAUUCGGGAAGUCAAAACAUGCAAAGUGAAACACAAGAAUAAUACUAAUCGUAUAUGGCCCAAAAACUUUUGUGUCCCAUAUUGAUUACUCAUUAGUCAUUGUAGAAUGUUUCGAAUAAUCAACCUAAUACUUGAAUUAAAUCAAUAGUUAUGCCAUGUUCCAAGCAUGCAUACUAUGUUUUGUAUGGUCAUUUCUUUGUGAAAUAGAUCAAUUGAAAAACAUUUCAAUGAAAACCAUUUCACAAUUCCAAAUCUUUAUCACCAGUGUAAGAAUUCCAAAUUCUCGUCAGUGCCAUUAUGUGUUAGAUUCUAAACUAUCAUGCAAUGAUUCCUUUGUAAUGUCUAGAUACCAAAAGUCAUGGAGACUUGACCAACGAUAUUACAAAGUAUUCCUUUGGAGAUUGUUACAAGACAAUUCCAUGGACGCGAAGUCUCAAAUUCAAAGUACAUUCCUUUGAACAUCCUUCUUGCAUAAAAGUUUCUAACCACAUACUCGUAAUAUCUAACACCAAAUAUGAAAACAUUCCAUAUUUGCCAUAUGACAACUCAUUAUUAAUAGAAUACUUUCUAUUUAUAAUAAUGUCGAUAUAGUCCAUCCAUUACUAUACUUCCAACUGUCCUUAAGUGACCAAUCCUCGGUGAACCUUAGAUUGUCCUUUAACAGUUGUUUAACCACUUUAGUCAUAUCUGAUUCUAUCUCUUUUUUCCCUCUUAAUGCCCAAAGCAUUUGGAAAAUAUUUAGAAUGGAUGAAUAUUAUAGCACAUGUAAUCGAUCCUAUACCCAAAACAUAUAGUACACGAUUCAUGAUGUCUUACAUAAAGACAUGAUACCUAACCAGUCUUUUGCUACAAUAUUCCUAUUUUCCAUGUUCUCAUAAUUCGAAUUAUGAAAAGGGAUGUAGUAAUCAUAAUCAAAUUGUGAGAACGCAACAUACUCAUGACUAUAUUUGAUUAAAAUCUCAUAAUCUAAGCUUGAAGUAUAAUUUCAUCUCCCUUAAUUAUAGCAAAACAACUUUUCAAACCCUGCAUCUUUGCAAAUUGAAACUUUUGUUUUCUAUAAUUAAUAUUGCUAACUCGCAACACUUAUAAUAAUUAUGCUCCCACUAGCAUAAUAAUUACAUUCUUAUUAGCAUAAUACUUAUGCUCCCACAAGCUUUGACAUGUACCCAGAAAUCAGUUGGACUUUUGGAAAUCAAUAUUUAUUGACUUUCUUACUAAAGUUCAGAUUUCUAAUACGAGAUGCUUCGAUAAGACUUUAUCUAGGCUUCUCAAACUCAUCCACCUUUCCUUAGAUAGCUCACAUGUGUGUCUUAACUAUUCAGAACUUACAAUAAUAAGUUCAAAAUGUUUAGACCCUUUUGCCAUUUCUCACAAUUCAAAUUAUGAAGAGGAAUGUCGUAAUCAUAAUUGAAUUGGAGAAUGCAAAUGUCACAAUUAUAUCUCCUUAAAAUCUACUUAGUGAAAGUGUUUCCUCACAAUCAUUUUCAUGAACUGCAGAGAAACCUUAUGACACUUAGAUUUUUUUGUGGUGUAUGUGUUCCUAUCCAUGUGAAUUUGUCAUAACAAUAAUCACAAGACAAGGUUAGUGAAAAAUCCAAACUCAUAUGGACUGAACUUGUUCAAUCUUAAUUUCUUGCCACCUGGCAGCACAAGGGCCUACCAUUGCUUCCAAGUUGUUAUGCAAACAACUGAGAACUCAUAGAACUUACAUGCAUAGUCAACUUUACUGGAAUGGGCACAGAAACAAGAAUAUGUCACUACGAUAGGUUACAAACCUCAAGUCGUGUGUUAGUGUUGAACAAUAGGUUUACUCUUGAUUAGUUCUUAAAACUUGUCAAGAUCCUUAAGACCCCCACCGACCUCUUGACAUAUAAGAUUCUCUUUUCAUGAACCAUUCCUUGACAAACAUAUAUUCAAGAGUUAGUGCGGAUUCUUAUCAAGACAAAACACUUCACAUAAUUGGUCUUAGUUGGUCUUUGUUUAUCCAAAACAUCUGUAAUGACCCAAAUUUUCAAGGAAAAUUUUCAUUUAAAUUAACAAACACGUUGCAUAAAACCAUGAGAUCCCACAUUUAGUUUUAAAAACAUCAUCCAUUACAUCAUUAUUUAAAUCAUCAGAGUAUCCCCAAACAUAUUAGUGAAAGAGAGAGAUAAAGUGCACGCCGCGCCAUCACGCCUUGCAGUUGCCCUUGGGCUCCGAUGUACCUGAAACAAUCAACAACUUGUAAGCAAAAUGCUACACCACACAUACAUAUAUCCUAGUAGCUAAUCGAAGCUAAACAUAUAUCACAUAAGCCAUGCAUACAACAAAUAAGGAUGUCGUGGGCUCGUCCCCAAGGUCUUACUCCAGGAUGCCAUGGGCUCCCCACAUGGUCUUACACCUAAGUGCCAUGGGAUCUCCCAUGGUCUUUGUUAGGAAAGCCAUGGGCUCCCCUCAUGGUAUUACGUCCAAGUGUCAUGGGCUCUCCCAUGGUCUUCCAUACAAAACAUACAAUCACAUAACAUAGCAAGCACAAAAUAACUAAUACAUAUAUCAUGAUCACAUAAUGGGCCGGCCUUGGUGCCUUAGACCCAUUGGUAUGGUGAGGAGACUCACCUCUGACUGCUGAAAUACAAACAUUGCUAUCCUAACAGCCUGAAACCUCCCGUGCUGAAAGAUGAUAAUAAAUUGAAGUCAAAAUCUUACUUAGUCAAAAUAACCCAAACUUCAACCCCCUUCUUGAGGCCCAAUUAUCCUUCCUUAACUAAUGGGCCCAAGGUCUAUGUCCAACCUCAUUAAUGGGCCUCUUGACCCAUUAAAGCCCAACCAAUAUAUCCAUGGAUCAUAACAUAUGAAAUAGCCCACAAUGCAACCAGGUCCAAUAACCAAGUGAGGCCCAAAAGCCCAAAACAGGCCCAAGCCCAUCUACAACACGUGCGCUCAACAUAUCACCCUGGUACGCACACCGUACUGGGGCUCAGGGACUUACGUGUGGCGUACUCAGAUCUACGCCCAACGUACUAACAGGUUAAGCACUUUUCCAUUAAGUGCUUAAUGCUCGAUUCUUAUACGUCCAGAAGUCAGAUCUAGGCCUAUAAAGACGACCCAAGGCAUAAAGUUGGCAACUAUAUGCCUUUGCAUGUCCCAAAUGAUCCCAACACCCUCAUUAAUACCAUUUUGAAGCUCUUAACCCAUGCAUGAGGUCAAAACUCCCACCAAGACUCCAUUUUUAUGUUGGAAAAGGACUAAGGGACCUCAGAUCUGUCAUCUCCAUCCUAUGGAGUUACUUAACUCACAAGAAAAGGGUCCAAAACCAACUAAAGGGACAAGACUAAAAACCCUAGCUAGAUUUAGUGAUUAAAAUGGAAAGGUACAAGCUUUAUACCUCCAGGAGCUCCUCAAGGUUGACAAUAAGCAGAUUCUUGAAGCCUAGUGACACUCCAAACUCCCUUGGCAACUUCUUCUUCUUGGAUGAACACUAAAAGAACCAUAAAUGCACUCUUAAAGCUCAAGCUACACUCACAGACGAUAUUAGGGGUUUUCAGGGCAUUUGAAGGUGAAGGAGGCAGAUAAGGGUGAUGUUUAAAGGAGUUAAGGAUGUUUAUAUAGGUCUCAAGUCCGGUUUUUAGGGUUUAAACAUGCUGGCACGUACGCCCAGCGUACGUGCUGCUCCUCCGCGUUCCUUCUCACCAAGUACGCUAAGCGUAUUCAUAAGUACGCCCAGCGUACUUAAAGGUCUCUUAAGCCAAAAUCAAGAUACUUCAAGGGUAAAGUCAUACCUGAUUUGGGUGUUACAACUCUCCCCCACUUGGACUAGACUUCGUCCCCGAAGUCCGUAGCUGUAAACAAAUCAGGGUAAUGCUCCCGCAUUUUGUCCUCUGGCUCCCAGGUCCAUUCAGAACCCUUUCGGUAUUGCCAUUGCACCUUUACCAAUUUCACCUCCUUGUUCCGAAGACCCUUCGUCUUCCAGACUAAUAUCGCGAUCGACCUCUCCACAUAAUUUAAGCUCCUAUCCACCUGAAUAUCAUCUAAGGAAACGGUUGCGGACUUGUCUGUAACACACUUCCGAAUUUGAGACACAUGGAAGGUAUUGUGAAUCUAACUAAGCUCCUCUGGCAGCUCUAAACGAUACGCCACCUUGCCCGCUCGGGCCGAAAUCCUGAAAGGGCCUAUAAACUGAGGCCCCAACUUGCCUCUCUUUCGGAAUCUGAUAAUCACUUUCCAGGGCGACACCUUCAGCAGUACAAAUUCCCCCACCUGGAACUAAAGGUCUGAAUCAAUUCGGUAGCCUUGAGCACUACAUCAGUUCUCCACAUGACCUGAUGCCCAACCUCGUCCUAACACACCAGGGUUCUACACCUCCUUCCAUAUAACAUCUCGAAUGGAACCCGGUCAAUACUAGCAUGAUAACUAUUAUUGUACGAAAAUUCUGCCGGUGGGAGGUAAGCAUCCCAACUCCCUCCAAAAUCUAGUACGCAUGCCCGAAGCAUGUCCUCCAACAUCUGGAUCAUCCUCUAACUCUGACCGUCGGUCUGAGGGUGAUAUGUCGUACUGAAAUGUAGUUGAGUGCCCAGUUCCUCAUGAAACUUCUUCUAAAACCUAGAAGUGAACCGGACAUCCCUGUCGGAGACUACAGACACGGGCACCCCAUGUCUAGCCACCACCUCACGUACAUAAAUGUCUGCGAACUUCUCUGUGGAUAUACUCUCGUAAAUCGGAAUAAAGUGGGCACUCUUCGUCAGUCUAUCCACGAUCACCCAUAUAGCAUCCACUCCUCUUGCCAAUCUAGGCAACUUUGUGAUGAAGUCCAUGGUGAUCUCUUACCACUUCCACAUGGGAAUGGGUAGUGGCUGAACAUUGCCAUGAGGCCGCUGAUGCUCGACCUUGACCUUCCUACAGGUCAAGCACCGCUCCCGAGCCAAGAAAUUUCUCGCUUCAGGCAGGGCCACCAAUAACUCAGCCUUAAGUCCCUAUAUAUUUUCGUAGCUCCUGGGUGUAUAGAGAACUUGGACUUGUGCGCUUCCUCUAAUAACCUCUGUCUCAUUUCCCCUGUCAUCGGUACCCAUACUUUGCCACACUGAGUUAAAAGGUCGCGACUAUCUUUAACAAACAAAGGAUACUAUCCCCAAAUUUUCUCUAUCUUCCAGUUCUCCUUCUCUGCCCCCUCGACAUGGGCCUCCCUGAUCAUAUCCAACAAAGGCAUAAUCAUGGUCAUCCUCAUACAAAUGCCCCUAAUAUGGGACCCCGCCGUCUUGCAACUCAAAGCAUCGGUCACUACGUUGGCCUUCCCUGGGUGGCAUAGAAUCUCACAAUCAUAAUCCUUCAGCACAUCCAACCACCUCCUUUGUCGCAUGUUGAGGUUCUGCUGAUCCAUCAGAUACUUCAGACUCUUGUGAUCGGUAUAUAUAGUCAACCGUACUCCAUAUAAAUAGUGGCUCCAAAUCUUGAGGGCGAACACCACUGCCCCUAAUUCCAGGUCAUGAGUAGGGUAAUUCGCCUCAUGAGGUUUCAACUGCCUCGAUGCGUAAGCUAUCACACGCCCCCUCUGUAUUAGUACCGCACCUAACCCCGAGAUCGAUGCAUCGCAGUACACCACCAAAUCCUUUAACCCCUCAGGUAGUACUAGAAUCGAAGCCUUGCAUAACCUCCGUCUUAGGGUCUCAAAAGUCAUCUACUGAUCCGCACCCCACCGAAAGGUCACAUUUUUCUUAGUCAAGCGGGUCAAAGGCACAUCAAUCUUGGAGAAGUCCUAGAUAAAUCUCCGAUAGUAGCCUGCUAUGCCCAAGAAACUACGAAUCUAUGACGCAUUCCUCGGUACUUCCCACCGUAUCAUCGCCUCAACCUUGGCUGGAUCAACCGAAAUACCCUCUUGAUUGAUGACAUGCCCCAAAAACUGUACUUCCCGCCGCCAGAAAUCACACUUGGAGAAUGUAACACCCAAAGUCAAAAAGGCCAAGAAAGGAAAGGAAACCCUAAGUUUAAGGGACGAGUCGGCGAGUCCAGGGAGGAACUCGGCGAGUCCGAGCGGGAUCCGGGUCGAAGAGUAAGUGACCGACUCAGCAAGUCGGCGAAGGAGACUCGGCGAGUCUGGUCUGAACGAGGAAAACCCUAAUUCUGGGAGUUGUAUCCUAUAUAAAGGGUGUUAUGUCCCUCCCUCAGCCUCCAUAUCAUCCUAGAGAACUUGUAAACCCUAGAUUUCGUGUGAGCUUCCAUCAUUGAGAGAAAUAGCUUUGGAGGAAGGAAAUUUUGGAAAGAAACUUGAAGAUCAAGAAGGUUGCUUCAAAGGAGAGGUGUAGAUCCGAGAUCUACUUCAGUUUGUGUUCAUCUUGGAUCUAGAUCUAUUUUUGUUAUGAGAUUUGGGGGUUUUAUGGUUGAUUGAGACCCAAUUCGAGUUUCGAGGCUUAGAUAUGUUGUUGCCACUUCAGAUCUAGUGUUGGGAUGGUCCAAUAUGUCAAAAAGCAUCAAAAGAUGGGUAGUUGGUGAAGCCCUUUUGUCCUUAAACCAAACCCUAGUGUGUUUUGAGCCUAGAUCUCUUUAGUUAUACAUAAAGUUUGCAACUUUACGUGGGGAUUGAGCUUUGGAAGUAUGGAUCUAUGGUUUGGAGUCCAUGCAUGACUCAAAAGUCCUUUGCAUGUAUGUAGAUCUGAAUGGACUCGGCGAGUCCUUUGAGUGGACUCGGCAAGUAGCAUGAAGAUUAGGAGGAACUCGACGAGUGGGAUGAACAAAUUGUCGAGCCAGAUGAACUUAGGCAAGAACUCGCCGAGUUUGAAGAACAACUCGGCAAGUCUAUUGAAGGUUGCCUUGGACUCGGCGAGUCAGGUCGCAAAACCCCAAACCCUUCGAGUUGAGACUCAAAUCAGUGAGUCGAAUGGAGACUCGGUGAGUUGGAUAGGUCAGGACUCGAAAAUCGGUAGACUCGGCGAGUCAUGGACUGACUCGGCGAGUCGAGACGCGAAUGGAAGAACUCUGAACAUAUUGACUCGGCGAGUAGGGUUGACCUGGUAGGUUGACUUUGACCAGAGUUGACUUGGUUGUCUUCCGGGGGUCAGUUAGACUAAGUGUUGCAUUGAUAUUGGUAGCUCAGGAGCUAGUGGAGCAGGAGUUUAGAGAGUUGCCGGACAGCAGCUAGUGGGAUCAUCAGCGAGUUCAGCUAGUGCGGGUGAGUUUCCCUUUUGUGUGAAUGGGUCUACGGCCACGAUGCCGGCCAAUGUAGUUAUGAGUAGAAGACCCGGGGGUUAGCCCUAGGCACAGUAUGCUAGUAUGAUAUUCAGGACGAGGUCCAAUGAAUGCGGGCGGGUGCCCAAGGAAUGGUUUAUGUGAUAGUUUAUACUUGUUGUCUGUGUGAUACUUGUAUGUGCCUGGUAGGGAGGUGAGUGUGGGCGAGGUCCCGUGUCUCACUAAUAGCAGAGUGUGGAUGGUGUUCCACAUCUCAUUAGCAGUAGAUCAGGGGCGAGGCCCAAGUUAGGGAAACAGUGAGUGUGGGCUAGGCCCGUAUCUCACUAUUAGUAGGAGCAUGGAUGGGGGUCCAUGACUCAUCAGUAGCAGGAUAAGGGCGAGGCCCAGGAUAGGCGAGGCCUUUGGACAGGAUCCGUUAGUAUGUGUUUAGCUUAUGUGUUGUGAUAUGUUUAUGUGCUAUUAUAUGUUAGCGGGAAAGGCCCUGUGACAGGCGAGGCCUAAGUGAAACAGAUUNAAGCCAAGCGGGGCCUGGAGCGGCGGGGCCUUUGUAGCGGGCGAGGCCCGAGGUAGGAGCGAUGCCCAGGAUGGCGGGCGUGGCCCAAUAUGUGUUGUAUGUGGUUAUGCAUGGUAUGUGGUAGGGUGGGGAACUCACUAAGCUUCGUGCUUACGAUUUUCAGUUUUGGUUUCAGGUACUUCCGGUAGCGGAGGGAAGAGCUCGGGGUGAUCGCAUAGCACACACCAUAGAUUAGACAACCUAGGAAUGUUUUACUCUGAUAACGAACACGUGUUUUGGAAACUAAUACUCUGAUUAUGUUUUGAAUCGAUAAUUUUGCUCUAAGUAAUGUUUUAUUAAAAGAAAUUUUUAGUCUUAAAUUUUGGGACGUUACAGAGAACUUCGCAUAAAGUUUCUCCGCUCUCAGGGUCUCUAAUACCUCCCUUAAAUGUUGCUCGUGCUGCUCCUUGGUCUUAGAGUGGACCAGUAUAUCAUCGAUAAAACAAUCACCGACCGAUCCAGCAUCGGCCUACACACUCUGUUCAUGAGGUCCAUGAACGCUGCUGGGGCAUUGGUGUGACAACCCGAAAUUUCUAUCUUGUACAACAUUUCAACUCAAUCAAAGUAAGACUUGUUUCUGCUAUCUUGUUAGCAUUGUUUAGAGUCUGUCUGAGUGUUCUAAGCAUAAUAACUCAAGGAUCGGGUGUUAGGAAGUAUCUGCUUGAGUCCAUUGUGCACUAGGCAAGCCUUAAACUUCAUCAUGUGGAGUUUACGACCACAUCCCAUGAGUUUACGACCAUAAACUCAAGGUGGCCAUAAAAUCAUACCAUAAACAUGAUAAUCCUUUCUUAAUCUUCAUUAUUCACCAUUUCAAGUCAAGGAACCUGAUUUCUCUCUCAAGUAUCAUAAGGAUCUUCAUUUUUAUCUUCAAAAAUGUAAGUGUUUCAUCCUUUGAUUUGUUGAUACAUCUCAUUAACUAGCACCACCUUUUGAUUUCAUCCAUUAACUUCAUCUUUUGGGUUUGAUCUUCAAGAUCACCAAGAACACACACUAGUGUUUUGGGCCGAAAUCAACUCUUUUUGCUUCCAUGUUGUAAGUAUCUCUUUCCUAUACUUUUUAUCUAGUUGAAACACUUGGUUAGCACCUUGAAAACAACCAUUUCACUAGAACAAUAGGAGUUUACAGCCAGGAACAUCUCCCAUGGCCGUAAACCCUUGUUAAGGGUGCAUUUGUGGCCAUAAACUCUUCCUAAGACUAAGAAUGAACCUAAAACACUUCCUUGAUGCUUGAAUGGACUUUAAAUCACUCUUUGGCACAAGGCUUCAUGAGUUUAUGGCCGUAAACUCAUAGGGCCGUAAACCCUAUGGUCGUAAACUCUCAAGAAGCAUACCAUUUUGGCCGUAAACACCAUUGUGUGGCCAUACACCCCUUAGAUGCAAUCCUUUGUGAUUAUAACACUUCCAUAAGUGUUUCCUAGUUCCUAAGGUGAAUCUAUAUCAUGAUUAGUUGCUUAAACACUAAUUAUAUGCAUAUAUGUGUCAUUAUAUGCUUAUAAGGAUCCGUUGUGCUCAAGGCUUCACUUGACACUUAGCAUCCUACAAAUCGAUCUUUCAUUCGUAUCACUCACUACAUGUGAAUUCAUACCCCUUAACUUACCUUUAAAUGAUUUUAAAUGCUUUUAUGAGGGGGAAUACAAGUAGCAACAUUAUAGUUAUUAUAUCAAUCACAUGUGAUUAAUAACUAUCAAACAGACUGAUUUCUUACAUUUCAAACUGUGUUAUCAAACAAACUGCUUCAAAUCAUUUUACAAACUCCUUGAUAUGCAAAACUCCUUAUUAAACUCUUUCAACUUAUAUUUUGUCAAAAUCAUGUCUAUAUAGAUAUAUUUAUAUAAGUAGGAUUGAAAGGACUUAGGACUGAUAACUCGCCUUAUUACCUGUUCCUUAUUUGGUUGUGGACCUAGGGUAUCGGUUGUUUGUCUGAAGGUCGUUUGAAUCUUUAGUUAUAUAUUAUGUGUAUGUGUAUAUAUAUUAUAGUUAUUUAUUCGGUUCAAUACCUUUGGGUAGCAAAGGUGUACAAACAUGUUCAUUCAUACAAACAACAUUACUAGUAAACUAUAAUAGGUAUAGUUUAGGAAGUCACUACUCACUAUUUCUAGUACAAUGAAACAUACAAGAGUCAGUUCAUUCACGAGUCAAUAAAAACAUACUAUUAUGAGAAAAAAAAAAGAACAUACUAUGAUGAGAAACUAAGAGAACAUACAAUACGCUACACUAUACAAGAGAACAUACUAUGAUGAGAAACUAAGAGAACAUACAAUACACUACACUAUACAAGAGAAAAUACUAUGAUGAGAAACAGAGAGAACAUACAAUACACUAGAACAUACUAUACAAACACUAGAACACUAUAACAUUAAUGUGAGCCACUACUUCAUGGCAUGGCAAUCAAUUGUUGUUUCACGUUUUGCAACCAGAGUCUCCUGGAGGGAGAGCGUGAGUUGGUGUAUAGAUCUAUACGGGAUUGACUAUCCUACACCUUGCUGCUAGCUAUAGUGGGACCUGCAGGUCUAUGGGAGACUAAUGUCAUACCAUUUCGAUGCCUUAGAGCGUCAUUUUUUUAACUAGUUGAUCAAGCAUGGUUACAACUAUAUCACAUUUUACCUUAAUUAAAACAAUUGUUUUAAGGUAGUUAGUACAAUGGUAGUAGCUAUAUACUAAUACUACACGUACAUCACAAUUAUUUUCCCAUUACAUUCAAAUUGUGAGCUUCUCACAUAAAUGGUAAUGUAAACUAUAUUUCUGGUAAAUGAUAGUCUAUCUUUGGUAAAGUUGCACACUUUUACAAACAAACAACAUACAAGAACAUUCGGGCCUUGGUAGAAGGCUACUUUUUAGUAGAAAAUAUAGGAUUUUCUAGGAGAUAAAAACAUUUACAAACAUGUACUACAAACGCUUACAAACAUUUACAAACACUUUCAUACAAGCAACGACACUAAAAUACUUAUGAACUCACCAGCUUUAAUGUUGAUCUACUCUUUCAAAAUAACUUGUAUUCUCAGGUCACCAGUAGACAGGUACCGAUGACCAGGUUUUGAGAAGAUGGAGCACGUUCAAGACUCAUCUCUUAUUUUGAUUUAUAUUUUUUGGUGUCUUAUAAACUAUACAAAACACACAUGUAUUAAUUUAUACUAUUAAUGAAAUGGAUGAUGUUGUUGCUUGUUUUACUAUUAUGCAUUGUUGUGAUAAUGUACAUGAUGUCCUCUGCCCCCGAACGUUUCUGCCGUUCAGGUUUUGGGGUGUGACAGAUUGGUAUCAGAGCUCUGUUUAUAGUGAAUUGAGUAUAUGAACCCAUAAAAGAUAUACAAACUAUAAACACCAACGGGAUUAAAAUACUCUGACCAAGAGUUUAUACUUUUAAAUAAUAAAAUAUUUAACCAAAGUAUACAUACCUGCAUUCAUACUAAAAUCAAUGUCACUAGGACAGAACAAAAGUAUUGUGGUUGUUGGACAACACAAGUAGACUCGGGGACAUAUACUUAGAUCUGGUAAUGAUAUAGCCUGAUUAAUGAUAUCUUUCCAAGAAGUGAUUAGCAUGUGCCUAAGAAUGGUUGUGGUGUUGCAGCAAGUCUAAAAACUUACUGACACUACUACAAUGAAAACAUUAGAAUAGAACAUAAACUUAAAAUACUAUAAGAGUAUUUCGUGUUACUAUAAUUACUUGUCUGAGAACUAAAGGUCUUUAUUAGUAGGUCAAUAGCUGCUUGGUGGAUACGCUAAGGUUACACGUGACUAAGGUGUCACUUAUUCGAAGAUCUAUCCUGUUUUGAUUACAUGUAACCGGUAUGCACUAUGCAAGUAUUGAAGUGGAUGAUAAAGAUCACCCUAUAAUUAUCUUAAUUAGUAUAUCUAUUAACUAUCUCUUUCAUCCCUUUUCUUGCGUAGAUAACAUGGCUAGAUUCCAUCCCCACAGCGACCCGUACUUUCCCAACCAAGGUAACGGAGGAUGGAUCGAUGCAGAGCCAGAAGAGAAUCAUCCAAUCUCUUUGGAUGACGACUUCGUAGAGAACUUUUUGGAGGAGUCUGACUCCGAACCUGAAGUCAAUAACCUACCCCCAUUGGCUCAAAUCCCAAACCCUAACCCUCGUCCAACAUUUCAAGGUCCCACACCUCUGUGGGCAACAAACUUGAACAUAUGGAGUCAUGAACAUGGUCAACCCUUACCUUACAACGGAGAUCGAAGCUUCUAUGACUUGAGAGAGGGAAGCUCAGUGGACAAAAUCGUGUCUAUACUAGUCCACAUGAUUGCUCGUACUGAUGAGCAAGGUAGGGCGGCCAUCAACCAAAUCAUGGAGGUUGAUGCUAAUGCGGGAGUCAAUACCGCAUGCAUUCUCCAUUUGGAGUCUACUCAUGCAAGGGCUCAAAAUCAAAAUGCGGCUCUGCAGAGAGAACUUACUGAAACCCAAGCCGACGUCAGGGAACUUCGAGCAGACAAUGUCUGAAAGGUGCAUGAGGGACAUGGAGCGCCGUCUGGCAGAAUCAAGGACUCACUUUAGUGGUUCUCGUCGCAGAUAGAGCCUACUCAACUUUCUUUUUUUGGAUAUAACUUACGUCUAUGUAAAGCUCUAGUUUUAGUUUCCUAACUUUGAUAAGGCUUUAAACUUGUUAAGUCUUGUUAGGUCUUAGUCCUGUCAAAGAUUUCCUAACUUGUUAAGACCUACUCCUAGGUCAUUUUUCCCGAACUUGUUACAUCUGUAAUACCAGUAUUAUUGACAGAUAUCUAAUCUCAUGGAAAUUAAUAUCCAAUUGCUUUCAUCUUUCUAGUACUAGAUCUACAUUCAAUCAUAGUUUCAUUUGUGUUGUUGGACUAUGCAGAGUUAGUCCAUGAGUCACCCUCAUCAUUCUCUCUAUUAAAUUCUUACCUAUAUCUUCAUCUUUGUGAUCUUAUAGCUGCAAGAUGCCUCCACGUCGAUCAACGAGGCGCACUACUCCAAUAACUCCAAAUCAAACUCCUCCUCCUCAAUACAAUCUAGCAGCUAUCCAAGCUGUUGUGAAUGCGGCUGUUACGACAACUCUAGCACAAUUCACCACUACCGGUACUAGUGGGAGUGAGACUAAUGUGCCUCCCACUAUUGUCGAAGCUCCAGUGUGCUCUAGAGAGUGCUCAUACAAGCACUUCACCAGUUGCAAAACCAGGGCCUUCAAUGGAACUGGAAAAAUCAUUGCCCUCUCGCAAUGGUUCAAUAAAACGGAGUCGAUCUUUGAGAUCUGCUCCUGUCUGGAAAGGAGCAAAGUAAAAUUUGCCGCCUGCACCUUCGCGGACCGAGCACUGACGUGGUGGAAUAACCCAUGUCAAGUCACUAUCUAUUAUAGUGGAAAAAAUGCUAUCGGCUGGGAAGCUCUGAAGGAGAUCAUGAUCGAAAAAUAAUGCCUAAGGGGCGAAGUCCAGAAGUUGGAGCAAGAGCUUUGGAGCCUAACCAUGAAGGGCCCCGACAUAGUCUCCUACACUGCCAGAUUCAGCGAUCUGGUAGCACUAUGUCCGGGAAUGGUCCCCUAUGAAGCGAAGAAGGUGGAGAGGUAUAUCUGGGGGCUGGUGUCUCCAUUCCAGGGGAAUGUACUAGCUUUAAACCCCGCUACCUUCGAUAGUGCCAAGCGAUUGGCAUAACGGCUCAUUAACCAUGGGGUCCGUAUCCCGUCAACAAGAGCAACCCUAGCCAUCUCAGAACUCUCCAAAGCCGCUGAUAACAAGUGGAAGUUAUGGGAUGACAAGAAGAAGAACGUUGCACAAAAAGCUGCCAAAAAGCAACAGGUCAUAGCAGUUCAUGCUGCAAUAGCACCUGUCGUUGCUGCACCGGUAAAGCAGUAUGCUGCAAACUUGCCGAAGUGAAACAAAUGCAACUUCCAUCACACUCGACCCCGCCAGGAAAUGCAGUGCUCUAACUACAACAGGAAGGGGCACACUGCCCGUUUCUGCAAAGCUCCGGCAAGGCCAAUCAACCAAGUCCCCGACGUUGGUGUGGGCCAGACUUGCUAUGGAUGUGGCGAGGUGGGCCACUACAAGAGGAACUGCCUGAAGGCAGGGAAUGUCGGUUGGGUGGCAAGAGUUUUGGCUAUAGGCCACGAGGAAGCAGUUGCCGACCCUACAGUGGUCACUGGAACGUUUCUUCUCGAUAACUCUUAUGCAUGCAUUAUGUUUGAUAGUGGAAUGGAGAGGAGUUUCGUGAACUAGAAAUUUGCUCACUUACUUAAGCAAAAAUCAAGAGCACUUAAAGAACCGUUCACUGUAGAAAUGGCUAAUGGAAAGACUGAGAGCACUAGCAGUUUAUACAUAGGAUGUACUCUAACUCUAGAUAGCCAUUCAUUUUCAAUUGACCUCAUGCUGGUCUCAAUUAAAAGUUUCGACGUCAUUAUCGGCAUGGAUUGGUUGAGUUUGCAUCAUGCCGACAUCAUGUGUUAUGAAAAGGUCGUUCGCCUUAAUCUGUGGUCUAGCGAAACUCUAUUUGUCUACGGCGACAAACCUAACAUGAACCUUCGUAUCAUCUCGAGCAUUCAAGCCCAUAAGUACCUGUGAAAGGAAUGUCGUGCAUUCCUUGCUCAUGUUGUCGAUGUGAGCCAAGAGACAAAAGAUAUAAAGAACAUUCCAGUGGUAAGCGACUUUCUCGACAUCUUUCCAGAAGAACUCCCAGGAUUACCUCUGCAACGUCAAGUCGAGUUUAGAAUUGACUUAGUUCCAGGGGCUACCCCAGUAGCCAAAUCGCCCGAUCGUCUAGCACCAGCCGAGAUGCAGGAACUAUCUGGUCAACUUAACGAUCUGCUCAACAAGGGCUUUAUUAGACCAAGUUUCUCACCCAAGGGAGAACCGGUCUUGUUCGUGAAGAAUAAAGACGAAUCGUUUCGUAUGUGCAUCGACUAGAGAGAACUAAACAAGCUUACCGUUAAGAAUCGUUACCCUCUGCCUCGCAUAGACGAUUUGCUCGACCAACUACAAGGGGCGAAUUACUUUUCAAAAAUAGAUCUGAGAUAUGGGUAUCACCAAUUACGAGUGUUAGAGGAGGAUAUCCCGAAGACAGCCUUCCGAACUCAUUACGGACACUAAGAGUUUGUAGUGAUGCCAUUCGGAUUGACUAAUGCGCUUGCAAUAUUCAUGGACUGCAUGAAUAGAGUAUGUCGUCCUUACUUAGAUCAGUUUGUCAUCAUGUUCAUUGAUGACAUACUCAUCUACUCUCAUAGUGAGGAAGACCAUAGUAAGCAUCUACGUUAGAUCUUGGAAGCAUUACGAUCAGAGAAGCUCUAUACGAAGUUCUCUAAAUGCGAGUUUUGGAUUCGAAGAGUCGAAUUCCUGGGUCACGUUGUUAGUGAAGAGGGAAUUCAUGUUGACCCUUCCAAAAUAAAGGCCAUUGAGAACUGGUCAGCACCAAAGACGCCUACAGAAAUUCGUCAAUUUCUAGGCCUCACCGGCUACUAUCGCAGGUUCAUUCAAAACUUCUCUCAGAUUACGAAACCUCUUACAACAUUGACCCAGAAGGGCGUGACCUUUGACUAGGAAGAGAAACAAAAGAAAGCGUUCCAAACACUGGAAUGAGCCUUAUGCACCGCACCGAUACUAUCCCUCCCAGAGGGGAUAAAAGACUUCGUGGUUUAGUGCGAUGCAUCCAACCAGGGGCUGGAAUGUGUUCUGAUGCAACGAGGUAAGGUCAUCGCAUAUGCCUCAAGACAGCUGGAGACACAUGAGGUCAACUACACCACACAUGAUCUUGAGUUAGGAGCAGUAGUGUUUGCUCUGAAGAUCUGGAGACACUACCUGUACGGUACGAAAAGCACUAUCUUCACAUACCACAAAAUCCUUCAACAUAUAUUUGACUAGAAGGAGCUCAAUAUGAGACAACGACAGUGGGUUGAGCUACUCAGUGACUACGAAUGCGAAAUUCGUUAUCAUCCCGACAAAGCCAACGUAGUAGCUGACGCCCUGAGUCGGAAAGAAUACUCUGAUCAUAGAGUCAAAUCAUUGACUAUGCCUAUCCAUUCACACUUGUCCACACAAAUUAAGGAGGCUCAGCUCGAAGCCUUGAAACCUGAAAAUGUGGCAGGUGAAUCCCUGAGAGGGAUGGAUAAGAACUUUGAAGUCAAGGGUGGUAGAGCCUUAUAUUUCAUGGAUCGGAUUUGGACACCGGAACACGGUGGUUUCAGAGGCUUGGUCAUGACCGAAGCGCACAACACUCGAUAUUCCGUCCACCCAGGUUUGGAUAAGAUGUAUCUGAGAUACUUUACCAUCCCGGUAAAGAAAAUGUUGUCGCUGAUGCUCUCAGUUGGAAAGUCAAUAUUAAAAGAAAAAGGCCAAGAGCGUUGAGAAUAGAAGUUGUCUCGACCAUUAUGGAAAGUAUAAAGAAAGCUCAAGAGGAAGCUUCUGAAAAGAAUGACCAGAAGGAGGAAUGUUUGGGCAAAAUGUUGGUGUUCAGUCCAAACGGUCAUGGACUGAAGGUAUUCCAAGAUCGUAUUUGGGUACCUAAGUCAGGAGGAAUAAGAGAUCUUCUGAUGCAAAAAGAUCAAAAAACCAUGUACUCAAUUCAUCCUGGCAGCACUAAAAUGUAUAGGGACCUGAAACCCUAUUACUGGUAGCCGACGAUGAAGCUUGAUAUUGCCAAGUACGUGGCAGAGUGUGUGACGUGUGCGUGGGUCAAGGCACAACAUCAGAAACCAUACGGGAUUUUAGAACCUUUACCUGUGCCUAUGGGUAAAUAGGAAGACAUUACUAUGGAUUUUGUCACUAAACUGCCCAGAACAAAGAAUGGUCACGACAUGAUUUGGGUGGUCGUUGAUCGCUUCACUAAGAGUACGCAUUUCAUAGCAUCCAAUGAGAAAUGGACUAUGGAUAAGCUUGCGAAUUCUUACAUGAAGGAAACUGUGAGGCUUCACGGUGUUCCGUUAACGAUUGUGCCAGAUCGUGACACCCGUUUCACCUUGCGAUUUUGGAGAAGUCUACAAGAGGAAUUGGGUACCAAGUUGUGUUUGACUACAACUUACCAUCCACAGACUGAUGGUCAGAACGAACGAAUGAUACAAAUGAUUGAAGAUGUGCUAAGAGCAUGUACCCUAGAAUUCCAAGGUAACUAGGAUGAACAUUUACCUUUGGUAGAAUUCUCCUACAAUAAUAGUUUACACUCGAGCAUUAAGAUGGCACCAUAUCAAGCUUUGUACGGACAGAAGAGUCGUACGCCAUUUUGUUGCUUGAGGAUGGGGAAAAGCAGUUUAUGGGACCCGAGAUACUCCAUCAAACUGCAAAAAAGUUGAAAAUAAUUUGGGAGAGAAUGUUAGCAGCUCAGGAUCAUCAGAAGAGCUAUGCUGAUAAAAAAAGACGACCGAUGACUUUUGAAGUUGGGGAUUCGGUUUUGCUUAAAGUCUCUCCGUGGAAGGGGCUUAUAAUAUUUGGUAAAAUGGGAAAGUUAAGUCCAAGGUUUAAUAGACUGUUUAAAGUUCUUCAGAGGAUUGGGAACCAAGCUUACAAGCUCGAAUUACCCGAAGAACUGAAUGGAAUUCAUAACACUUUCCAUGUGUGUUAUCUGAGGAAGUUCACGGGAGAAGUUCCCGACAUGAUUCCACUUUCGGAAUUAAGAAUUAAUGAAAAUAAGAGGUUAAUUGAAGAACCAGAGGCAAUCGUUGAUCGUAAGACUAAGAAGUUACGGCGCAAGAUGGUCGAAUUAGUGCUUGUUCGUUGGAAACAAACGAAUGGGCCAAAUCUCACCUAGGAAACGGAGAGUGACAUGAUGAGUCGCUAUCCGCAUUUGUUUGUUGAUGUGUGAUUCCGGGGACGGAAUCAUCCUAAGUGAGAGAGAACUGUAACGCCCAUGUUUCUAGGCUAGGCAUUAAUAUUGAUGUAAUUGUGUAAGUUAACCUUUGUAACUCAUUUUGAAAUAAUAGAAAUGUAUUAUUUGAGUAUUAUGUGUUUUAUGCUUAAUUGGUGUGGCUUAAAUGAAUUAAGAAUAAAAAAAUAAGCGUAAUAAUAAAAUAUUAGAUAAGCCCAAUAUCUAUGAAGGAAGUUGUAGUGGUCGUGACAAGGGUUCUGGAUAUAUAAAGAAUGUCGAAAUCUGAGUUAUAACGAAGAAGUUAUGACCCGUCGAAGUUUCGCGACAGAACCGGUACGACACCGUGUGACGUAAAUAGUGAAUUUACGAUAGAGCAAUAUCUGGCCUUAGUGAUCUAAACAAAAGUCGUAGAAUACGUUAAACCGAGAGCGUACAUAAAUAGAACGUCUAAAUCUGACUUCGUGUGAGGAAGUUAUGAUUUUUCAAAGUUUCAACUUAGCGGUAUGCAGCCCAAAGUUCGAAUAUGAGUUCAAGUGAUUUCUAGCUGAAACAAUCUAAACGAGAAUCGAAGAUCUCGUUGAUAGUAAUGGAACGGAAAAAAGACAGACGAAAACGGAUGUCAGAUGAAGAAGUU
rnacentral:lncRNA from 1 species